UUUUUUUUUUUUCUAUUAUUUCAGUUUGUUUUUAGUUUCAAUAAUUGGAAACUUAGUGAAGUCGGAUUUUAAUUUUUAAAUAAAUAAUUGGAUACAUUUUUAUAAUUAUGUUUUGGAAGUUUUCUUUUAUUUUUGUUCUCUGCUGUGGAUUAUAUUAGUUUUCAUAGUGUAUGAUAACAUGAUGAUAUCAACUUCCGAUGUAUGAGAACAUGAUGUUAUCACUGAAUUUGUCCUUGAUAACAUGAUGUUAUCACUGAACAUGUGUGAUGAUGUUAUUAGUUAACUUAUCCUUGAUAACAUCAUGCUAUCACAACAAUGUUUCAGAAUUCCAAUAAAAGUUUACUUAUUGAAAAUAUGUUUGAAGUAGUGAUAAAAAGAAUGAAGAAAAAAAAGAACCAAACUAAAAAUCCACAAGUAGAGGAUAAAAGAACUUACUUCUUUGUUGUUAAUUAUUUGUGAUUAGAGAGUAUGUAAUGUUAUCAAAUAUAUGAUAACAUGAUAUUAUCAGUACUACACUUGCCCUUUAUAACAUGAGCUCCAAAUAUAUGAUAACAGGAUGUUAUCACUGCACUUAUUCUUGAUAACACCAUUUUAUUAUCUUUAUUUAGGCUUUAGGGUUUAUAUUUAGUGUUAGUGGUCUAGGGUUCUUAGGGUUUAAAUUUAGUGUGUUUAAAAUUAAGUCGGUAAUAACCUGUACAAAUCCUACUGGGGUUAACAACACCCAUACAUGACAGUGUUUUAGAUGUAUCGUACAUGUACGUAAAAUUAGUUUCAUAGGUUUAGAUUUAAAUGUGUUUAAAAGUAAGUUGGAUACCGGAUCUUGCUGCUGCUACUUGUCCUCCAUAGAUGAAGUCAAGAAGAGAAAACCUCCUCCUAGUCAUGCUCAUCCUAUUCUUUAACCAGCGAUUUCUAUUUUGAGCUUGUUGUUAUACAGAUAAAUCUUGCACGUACUGAGCUCGGAUCAGCCUUGUAGGUCGCGAGCUCUUGCUUCAUCUCUCUGCUACAAAGUCACUCUUUUAUUAGGCGAUGAGGAAGCUUAUGAGGAAGAACUGUAGGGUUAAUGAUAAGUCCUCAAAAGUGUAUAUUUACCCCCCGAAUAACAUCUUGUUUGCAAAGCACUUAGCUUAUAUUAUUGUGUUAUACCUAUUAAUUAGUGUUUUCUUGUCAUUUGUAUAGGUUUCAUGAGCCGAAAUGCGAAUAUUGUGUUAAAGCCCGCCAAAAGUCAAGAAAAGCCCACAAAAAGUGUUAUUUGCACAAGAAAGAAGAAUUGAUACUUGCACCCACAGAGUCGCUGAGGGCACCCCACGGCUGGUCCUAUUGACUUGACUUUAUGUCAAAGUGGGGCGGUCUAAAUCUCAACGCAAACCGGGUCCUAUUGAAGCCCACAAAUCAAAAUUUCUAUUUUAGGCAUUAUUUAAAGUCCAAUCUUAAAAAUGUUCUACAAGAAGAUCCAGAAGUCAGAUUUGGGCCCAUGAGUUGUCCAAUUGAAGGUCUUGGUCCAACCUACAACUUAAGUCCAAGAUAAUUAGGUUUUGCUGAAAACCUAAUCCCUCUAAAAGACCAACAGCAGCAGCCACGAAUUUGACCUAAUUUAGAAGUCUUUGUAUGCAAGUAUUAUGCUUUGUAUUUUCUAUAUAAGAGAAGUAGUAGCUAGGGUUUAGGUAGUUCAUACAGUUCAUGUUGAAGAAGAAAAAUCUUGUAUUGAACUCAAUUCUUAUUAUCAAUAUCAAUCCAUUAACUUUUCCCUUAUGAUGCCUUGUUAUUUAAUUUAUUUAUUUAUUCCAUGGUGUUAUCAUCAAUGAUGAGCUAAAUUCCCUUAGGGGGAUGGUUGAAGCACUCUAGAUAAUGCAAAAGCACCAUGUUUGUUCUUAAUGUUCAUUGUGAUUCAAUUUGUUUGUUUAUUUCAAUUCUAGAUAGAAGUAAACAUGAUUAUUUAUGUGUUAUUGUUAUCCAUGUUGAUUAAAUACUAUUGUUAGAGUAUAGGGAGACCUAGCUAUAAUGGUUGUAUUAGAUUAAUUAAUGAUAUGUGAUAGAAUAGUUGAGAGGUGACUAUCAUAUGUUUAGAAUUAAUCUCUUUUAUUGGACCCUUUUUGUAAUCAAAUUGAAUAGCUGAGAGGUGACGGUUUGAUUAUGAAUUAAUAUGUUGAGUUAAUUGAAUUGAAUAGUUGAGAGGUGAAAGUUUAAUUAAUGAGAUAUAUUCAAUAGCACAUAUAAAGAAUCCCGUUUUAAUUGAGUGGAAUAGCUGAGAGGUGACUACUUAAUUAUUAUAUGUAUUGAUGAUUAAUUGGAAUAGCUGAGAGGUGACUAAUUAAUUGUUAUAGAUUGAACAUGAAAGGAUGACAUGUUAUGUUUGCAUGAUUUAGUUUGUGGAUACGAACUCUUCCCCCUAUGUCAUCAUAAGAUCUUCUUUACAUCUCUAUCCAUCUUCUUAAGUUAGUUUAUUUAUUAGUUUAUUUAAUUAUUGCCUGUAGGGAGUAGAAUCCAAUCUCUCUCUUAUUUGUGAUUCACUUGGUAUUUCUUAACCAUUGUUUGCUAUUGUGUUGAGCUAAGAUCUUCACCUUUGAGGUGGGUACGACCCUUACUUGUUACUUGUCUACAUUGAUAACCAAUAUUUACAGGCACAAGAAGGUAACUUCAUUAUAAAUCUAUCUUUUGAAUAGAGGUUACACAAAUAGCCUCUAUCAGUUAACAACACCCAUACGUGGUAGUGUUUUAGAUGUACACACUUCUGUGUUAUCAUGAGAAAUCGCCUAUUUACUUGGGUGCCUAACACUGAUUGGACUCACCUUAUCCCUAUGGAUCCUACACAUCGUUUUAUCCGGGGAAGUCGCCUAUUCACUUGGGUGCCUAACACUGUAUAUGUAGAGUAUCCAAAUAUGCAUAGAAAUGAUAAAUUUAUGGAUAAUGGUGAAGGGUCUUGGAAUAUAGUUAAAGAGGCAUUAACUCUUUGGCGUGAUGACUUGGAUGGUUUGCCAAGAGAGGUUGUUUGAAAUCAAGAGUGUAAUAUAGGAUUUCUUUUUCUGUUGAGUCAGUCCUUUAUUUCAGUAUAUUUUAUUUCAGUUGUGUCAUAGUAUGGAAUUCGUUGUAAUCUCUAUAUGGAGAUAAUUUUGUUUGACAGGAAUCUAUAAAGCGGUUUGAAUUUUUAGUACAUUCAUGGUAAUAUCUUUCUCUCUCUCUUUCCUAUGCUUAGUAUGGGGACAAGGCAAUCUCUUUGUUUGGGGGUGGGGAAGUAUUUCAAUCCUUUUUGCAAAUGAUUUUCAAACUCCUUUAUCCAUACUUGUGUAAUAAUUCAAAAAACGUUUUUGAGAAAAAUCAACAAAAAUCUUUCUUACAAAGACUUUUGCAAAAAUAGGAUAAGUACACCAUCAAUGAUGAACAUAAUGGUUGAAUUCUAUCAUUUUCAAGUUUAAGGACAAUUAUUGCUUCACCAAGUAGUUGCGUCUUAUACUACAUUUGCAUAAGCAUAAGCAUGACAUUCAUCUGCAUUUAUUAUAGAUUACAUGUGCAAAUACAACUACACCUUGAGAAACUCGAGGAAUAAGUGUAGAGACUUAACGCUGUGAGCUUUUGAGCCCCGUCCUUUACUUGGAGAGUUAUUACGUAGAUCUGGAGUCAAAAGACUCAACCUCUCAGUUUUGUCUGUUUUUAGUCUCAUAUCAUUCUUAUAGUUAGCCUUGAGACGACAUCAAGUGGGUGUAAUAUAAACUUGGGUCUUGUAGCUUAUUCAAGAUGUGAUCACCAUAUCAGUACUUAGAGAUGAUACAAAGACAUUUAGUUAAACCCUAUUUACCUUAGCCUACCCUGAUGAUAUUUUAUCCCUUAGGUUAAUCAUUCUGAGCCUUUCUUGUUAGUUAGCCUUUUUUCUUAAGCCCAUUCCUUACCCAACUCCAUUGUAGGAGUUAAUACCCUUAGAAUGUUUUAGGUCCUUUUACCCAUUGUUUUUGGAACAUGAGGAUAAUUGUUUACGUAGUUACAAGAAGAAAGGGGAAAUACAAAGAAAUCUCCAAACUAGUGAAAUAAACCAAAUAUUGAAAACCAAAAGGUUUGAAGAAAUUCCAGAAAAAGCCAGAAUCUUCCAAAUCAUUCCAAAUCCAAAAAGAAAGGAAGAUUCCUAAAUAGGCUAGAACUUCAUUGAAAUUUUCCCAAAAGAAGAUGAGAAAUACUUCUUACAAAAGAAAAUUUUCAAAAAUUUCUCCAUGUGUUGUUAUUACAAAUCACAAGUAUUGAAGGCCCGAAUGUUCCAAAAAUGUUUCAUAAAAGCCUUUGCCAUUUCUAACCCUGUCCUAAGCCAAGUUAUAACCCAUUACUGUCUUUUGUAGAUCUAAGCUGAUAUGGUAGGAUGUGGCGAGUAAGUGAGAAGAUGCUGAGGUGAAAAACCCGAAACAAGGCUAGUUUUUCUAUUCUUUGAAACUAAGUUCAUUCCAUUACACCAGUCCGUUCUUAUUGAUAUAUGUGAGAUGUUUGUCGAUCUUCUUUCCUCACAUAGAGGUAAAAUGAUAAACAUCAUCUCCGAGUGACUUUAGUUCUGAGUGUAUGUCUGUGAGGCAGAAGUCAAAGCGACCUUUCGAAAAGGUGACUUAAGACCCGUAGUAGUAUGGGUACAUGCCUGUAUUCGAUGCACUUGAGACCGUUAUGCUUGGUUUAUAUUUCAUAUCUUAUUCAUGCAUUUGUAGUAUGUUAUCUCAUAUGAACGGUUUUGCAAUACUUAUCUUUAUCCUUGAUAUGACCAUUUCUAAGGUACAUGGUAGAAAAUCCUAUUCUUGAAAUUAGUCAUUGUAGUAAGUUUGUGGGUAUCUUCUCUGAAAAACCCUCAGGAGACUAUAACUCCUCCACCUGGGAAAUCCUUGUGGUUAAAAGCUUUGAUGCAUACGGUUAAUGCAAUCACCUUAGUUAUACUUCUCUUUUGAGUCAUUUAUUCUUUCUUCUCAUCUUUGCUCGAGGACAAGCAAAGUGUUGUUUGGGGGUAUUUGAUCGGACCUCAAAAGUGUAUAUUUAUCCCCCAAAUAACACCUUGUUUGUAUAGCACUUAGCCUAUAUUAUUGUAUUAUAUCUAUUGAUUAGUGCUUUCUUGUCUUUUGUGUAGGUUUCAUGAGCCGAAAUGCAAAUAUUAUGUAAAAGCCGCGAAAAGUCGAGAAAAGCAAACAAAAAGGUGUUAUUUGCACAUGGGAAGGAGAAUCGAUAUUUAAACCCACAAGAUCUACUGAGGGUACCCCACGGUCAGCUCUGUUGACUUGACUUAAGGUCAAAGUGGGACGGUCCAAUUCUCAGCCCAAACCGGGUCCCACUUAAGCCCACAAGUCAGAAUUUCUAUUUUGAGCCUUAUUUAAGUCCAAACUUAAAAAGGUUCCACAAGAAGAUCCAGAAGUCUGAUUUGGGCCCAUGAGCUAUCAAACUGAAGGUCUUGCCCCAAGCUACAACUUAAGCCCAAGAGAAUUAGGUUUUGUUGAUUACCUAAUGUCUCAAUAAGACCAACAGAAGCAGCCACGAAUUUGACCUAAUUUGAAAGUCUUUGCAUGCAAGUAUUCUACUUUGUAUUUUCUAUAUAAGAGAAGUUGUAACUAGGGCUUAGAUAUCUUUUAGUUUUCCUUUAAGAUCAACUUUCAUUGAAGAAGAGUUGAUCUUCUUCUUUAUUGUAUUCAACUCAUUAUUCAAUAUCAAUUCCAUUAUUAUUCCAUUAUGAUGUAUUGUGAUUUAUUUAUUUAUUCCUUGGUUUCAUCAUCAAGGAUGAGUAGAUAAUUCUCUUUAGGGGGAUGGUGGAAGCUCUCUAGGUGAUGUAAAAGUAUCAUGUUUGUUCUUAUUGUUCAUUGUGAUUCAAAGUUCUUAAUGUUUAUUUGCUUCUAAUUCGGGAUAUGAGGUAAGUAUGAUUAUUUGCAUGUUAUUGUUAUCCAUGAUGUUAAAAUAUUAUUGUUAGGGUUUAGGGAGACCUAGCUUUAAUGGUAGUAUUUAUAUUUAUUGUAGAUGCGUAGUGCAAUAGCUGAGAGGUGAUUAUUACAUGUUUAUAAUAUAUAUCUUUAAUUGGAAUGAUUAAAUCAAAUAGCUGAGAGGUGAUGAUUUAGUUAUGAAUAAUAUGUUAAGUUAAUUAGAUUGAAUAGCUGAGAGAUGACGGUUUAAUUAAUGAAACAUAUUCAAUAGCAUGCAUAAGAGAAUCCCGUUUUAAUUGGGUGGAAUAGCUGAGUGGUGAUUACUUAAUUAUUAUAGGUAUUAAUAAUUAGUUGGAAUAACCGAGAGGUGACUAAUUAGUUAUUAUAGAUUGAACAUGAGGAACAACAUGCUAUGAUUGCAUGAUUUAGUUUGUGGAUACCAACUAUUCCCCCUAUGUCAUCAUAUAUCUUCUUUUCAUCUCUACCAUAUUCUUAAGUUAGGGUUUACUAUUUAUUAUUGCCUGUAGGAAGUAGAAUCAAUCAUGAAAUCUUAUUAUUGAUUCCCUUGGUGUUUCUUAACUAUUGUUUUCUAUUGUGUUUGAGCUAAGAUCUCCCCCUCUGAGGUGGGUACGACCCUUGCUUGUUACUUGUCUACUUUGAUAUCCAAUUUAUACAGGCACAAGAAGGAACUUCAAGUUAAAAUAUAAUCUUUUGAUAGUAGGCGUCAAAAACCGAUUAUCAAAAUAGCGUCGUUACCGCUCUAAGGAACGGAGUUCAUUCAAACACAAGCGAGAAUAGUUGUUUCGGGACAUCACCCCACUUCUAUCCCUCCCACCCUUCUAUUUUUAUUUUUUUUAAUUAGUGUUUUUAAUUGUCUUGUUACUUAGUCCUCUUAUUGAUCUUGCAGCGAGGACGGAUUGAAAAAAAACUCGAAAAACGGAGUCAAUAUCAAAGUUUUAAGAAAAGUUCGCGUUCAGGAAAUCUUCCUGAAAGUUCCUAGUUCAAACUGGGCCCGAUCUCGAGUCGAGUUCAGUUUGGCCUUUACCAAUCUCGAGUCGAGUUCCAGGCAGGGAAUUUGCUCGUUUUGCAUGAUUUUUCCAGAGCGCUCCAGAACUCCUGUUUAGCUAAUUUAUUUUCCUGAUGAGAGAUUGUGAGAUGAACUAAGUAGUCUAUUUUUUUCAACAUUUUUAAAGACUUGUAAGUUAUUUAAUUAUUCGAUCCACGAAGGGGUCGCGGUUGUAAUAUUUUUAAAGUAGGUGUUGUUAGGAUUUAUUUUAUUGUGUGUUCGCGGCGGAUAGUAGAGCAAGGUUGUGGAGCUAGCCUUGAGUCUACUAAGGAACGACUCCUAAGGACGAUUGAAACCCAAGGAGCGGUUUCCCCUUAGUCGACUUCAACUCGUCUUUUCCCCACUUUUGUGCGCUUGUUUGACAAUUUUUACUUUUUAGCAUAAAGUGGGAGGUACGCAUUCUCCUAACCCUCCUCGAAUCCCCUGCAAGAGGAGUUUCUGUAUUGAUUAGCAUGACCUUGAUUGUUGCUUGAUUUCAAUUUCUAUUUUUACUUGUUAAACCGAGACUGCAAGGCGGACCUGGCCUAUAAGUGAAACCUAAUAUCAAUUGAUUGCAAUAUCCUAAGCCUUAAAAUUGAAUCAACUAACGCCAUGCUAUCACGAUGUUCAUUUGAGACCUUGAGCAGAGAUUUCAACUAGUACUGUGUGAUUUUUCUUUGAUUGGAGCACAAGUUAGGAAUUGGGUCUGGAACCCCUACGGAUUUAUCUGUAGAAUCACUGUGGUUAUUUAAUUAAGGAACGUGUUUAGGCACGGACAACCUGCCACAUUGGUUAUUCGCUGCUUGACUCUCGAAAUAUAGGGAGAAUUCACUCACAAAGCUUGGAAGAACUCAUUGACUUGGGUGAACACAAAAUUGAGUCAGUUUUUGAACCCCUUGUUAGAUGCUUUUGAAUGGUUAGGACUUCUGUUGCAUAUGCAAUGCGCAUGUUGCAUGCAUCUUAGAUCACAUAAAAUCUUGUCCAAACCUAUAAUCUACACAAAGAGCACAAUCACGGACCUCCCUACUCCUCCUGAGGAAGAGUUUCACAACUCAACCUCCAUACCUUCUGAAGAAGAGUUCAACGACUCAACUUCACUUUCUGAAGUACAUCCUGCACCUAUGGCUCAAGAAGCUACCCUUCGGGAUUACUUUUCACCUUUGGCCACUGGGCCACCUACCUGCAUUGUCUUACCUGCGACAAAUGCAGAUAGCUAUGGCAUUCGCCAACAGAUUGUGGGCAUGUUGCCUAACUUCCAUGGACUUCCACGGGAAGAUCCAUAUCAGCACCUCAAUAGGUUUCUGACUGUUCUCCAUACUUUUAGGGAGAAGCAUUUAUCUGAGCAGGAAGUUAGCUUGAGAUUGUUCCCCUUUUCUCUUGAGGAUAGAGCAUCUCAUUGGUUACAUGGCCUUCCUUCCAAUUCUAUUGCCACUUGGGCUCAACUAAGUAAAAGGUUUUUGACCAAAUUCUUUCCUAUUACUAGAACUAAUGACAUAGUUGAUGCCAUAAGAAGUUUUCGGCAAAAAGAGGGCGGGGUAUUCUUUGAUGCAUGGGAGAGGUUUCACGACCUAUUUCUUCAAUGUCCACACCACAAAGUCGAUGACACUGAAAAAGUUAGGAUUUUGUAUAGAGGCCUUAAUACUCAGACUAGAAACACAGUUGAAAGCCUGAGUGGUGGAGAUUUCCUUGGUUACUCCACGACCAAGGCUCUAGCCUUCCUUGAAAAGAUUGCUACUAAUAGCCAACAAUGGGAUGUACCUGGACAUACCCCGAGAAACACUACCCCAGACUCAUUCGAUAAACCUAGAGGUCUAUAUGAAGUCAAACUCGACUCUGAGCUUAAAAAUCUACUUCAUGGAUUAACUAAACAGGUAGCAGCACUUGGCAUAUCCUUAAAUACCCCAUCAACUGUUAUGAGUGCCUCCACUCUUUCAUGCGAUGCUUGUCAUGACCAGACCCACACUGCCAAAUUUUGCCCUCUCCUUGUUAAUUCACCAGAAACUGAGGAUGCAUGUGCGUUUAAUUACGCUGGGAGAACUAACUUUACUAAGGGCAAUGCCACGUACCCAUACAUGGACCGCUCCAAUCUCUCUUAUUUUAAUAAUCAUCAUGCGGGUCCACCUGGUUUUAAUAACUCUUAUGGGCAACGUAGCAAUGCCACGUAUGUUAGUAAUAUUGAUAAUCGGAACAGGGCACCGGUCCCCCCUUAUUCAAACAAUGCUCAUCACAUGAGUGGUUCCAGAGACCGUAUGCCAACUAAUCAAUCUGCCUCUACUAAAACCUCUCUUGAGGAUGUGCUUGCCCAUUUUAUUCAACAGACCCAGGUGUCUAUUUAGUCAAAUGCCCAAGCCAUCCAGAGAAUUGAACAAAAACUUGAUGAAAGAGGUAGAUUUCCGGGACAGUCCAUCCCGAACCCCAAAGGCAAAGAAGUUGCCUUGGUGAUGGAAGCUACAUCUCCAUCUGUACCGCUUGUUGAAGUAAAAUCGGUUUCCACCCUUAGGUCAGGAAAACAGGUCAAUAAUCAAAUUAAUUAUAUACUGAGUCCCAACAUUGUGACCCCGGUUACCUCUGCACCUGUUGCCCCACCUGAACCUCCGGCUAAUGAGGCAACCACCUCUAAACCGAAGAAGACUGCCCGUGAGAUCGUGGACCCUCAACGAACUUACAUCCCACUUGUACCUUACCCCCAGAGACUCACAAGGUCUCUGAAGGAAGUCCAAGCAGAGGAAGUACUUGAUGUGUUCAAACAUAUAAAUAUUAAUAUACCUUUCCUCACGGCUAUUAAACAGAUACCUUCCUAUGUUAAGGUCUUGAAGGACUUAUGCACCGCCAAGAGAAAAAUAAAUGUUCCUAAAAACGCAUUUGUAGCGGAAGAAUUCUCUGCACUGUCCAACAUAAUGGUGUGGUAAAAUAUAAGGACCCUGGAAAACAGACCAUACCCUGUAAGCUUGGUGACAAGUUCAUGGGUAAAGUUUUGCUAGACUUAGGAGCGAGUGUGAACCUUUUGCCUUACUCUUUGUACCUCAGCCUGUGUCUAACAAACAUUAAACCCACGAAAAUGUCAUUACAACUAGCCGACAGAUCUUUGAAAGUACCUAGAGGUAUAGUUGAGGACCUAUUAGUUAAAGUGUCUGACCUUUACUAUCCUGUUGACUUUGUGGUGUUGGAUACUGAACCUACUGUCGAUGAUUCGGUACCCAUCAUCCUUGGCCGCCCAUUCUUGGCCACCUCUAAUACUCUCAUAAACUGCCGGAACGGUUCCAUGGUUCUCACUUUUGGCUCUAUGACUGUUGAAGUUAAUAUAUUUAACCUUGGCCAACAAACCCCUGAUCUUUCCUUAUCUGAGGAUGUGUGUCUUCUAGACUCAUUACCUUAUGAGAUGGUUCAUAGUUAUUACCCUGAAGAUCCGGUUGUUCAUUGCCUUGCUAUGCAUAAUGUAGACUUUGACAUUGACCAAUCUAUUGCCCAAACCAAUGCUCUUCUUGAUUCUGUGCCUAUCUUUGAACCUAAAGACCCUGAGGCCCUUGAUGUGGUUUGUAGCUUAGAUUCUGAGACUCAAGUAGAGACCAUUACUCCACUUUCUGUUACCCUGAAUCCUCUUCCAACUGAGCUGAAAUAUUCUCAUCUUGAUUCAGACGGUAGUCAUCCUGUUAUCAUUUUCUCAUCUCUUACUACCGAACAAGAGAGUCAGCUUAUAGAAGUUAUCUUAGAGCAUCGCUCUGCUAUUGCCUGGUCCAUCCACGACAUCAAAGGCAUUAGCCCUUCUGUCUGUUCUCAUCGUAUACAUCUUGAGGACGAUGCCAAAACUUCUCGUGAACCUCAGAGACGUCUCAACCCUGCGAUGAAAGAAGUUGUUCGAGCUGAGAUUCUUAAACUUCUGGAUGCAAGUGUGAUUUAUCCUAUCUCGAAUAGUCCCUGGGUUAGUCUUAUUCAUGUGGUUCCUAAGAAGGCCGACAUGACUGUAGUUACCAAUGAUAAGAACGAACAAGUUGCUACUAGAGUUCCAACUAAGUGGCGUGUUUGUAUCGACUAUAGAAAACUUAAUACAGUCACCCAGAAGGACCACUUUCUUUUUCCCUUCAUAGACCAGAUGUUGGAAUGUCUAGUUGGUCAUUCCUUCUAUUGUUUCCUGGAUGGUUACUCCGGUUACAACCAAAUUCCUAUCGCCCCUGAAGAUCAGGAAAAUACGACAUUUACUUGUCCCUUUGGCACUUUCGCUUAUGCCCGUAUGGCUUUUGGUCUGUGUAAUGCACAUGCUACUUUCCAGAGGUGAAUAUUACACAUCUUUAGUGAUAUGGUAGAACGAUUUAUGGAGGUGUUUAUGGAUGACUUCUCCAUAUAUGGUUCAUCUUUUGAAGAGUGUCUUAGUCAUCUUUCCUUAGUUUUUAAACGUUGCAUAGAGAAGAAUUUGGUACUUAACUGGGAGAAGUGCCAUUUUAUGGUUAGGAAGGAGAUAGUUCUUGGUCAUGUAGUCUCUCCUGAGGGUAUUCAGGUUGAUAAAGCUAAAGUAGAUCUUGUUUCAUCUUUGCCUAUUCCUAAGUCUAGUAGGGAUAUUCGAGCCUUUCUGGGCCAUGCAGGUUUCUAUCGACGCUUUAUCCAAGAUUUUUCUAAGAUGGCUCGACCCUUAACCAAUUUAUUGCUUAAGAAUGCACCUUUUGAUUUCACAAAAGAAUGCAAGAGCGCUUAUGAAAAUCUUAAGACCGCCCUCACGAUUGCACCCAUUAUUAGGCCUCCUGAUUGGAGUAAACCCUUUGAGCUGAUGUGCGAUGCAUCAGACUUUGCUGUUGGGGUUGUUUUAAGUCAACAUCUAGAUGGUAAGCCCCAUGUCAUAUAUUAUUCUAGCAAGACUCUCAAUGACGCUCAACGUAAUUAUACGACAACUGAGAAAGAACUGCUAGCUAUAGUAUAUGCUCUUGAAAAGUUCCGUUCCUACCUUUUAGGUACCCGUACUGUCAUCUUUACGGAUCAUGCCACUAUUAGAUUUUUUCUAUCCAAGAAGGAGACUAAGCAGCGCCUUAUUCGUUGGACAUUAUUGCUUCAAGAGUUUGACCUUGAGAUUAGUGAUAAAAAAGGGACCGAAAAUGUAGUGGUCGGCCACUUGUCUAAACUAGACCGUCCUGAGGAUUCUAGUGUCAUUUCUGAGAAAUUUCCUGAUAAACUUCUUUUUGUAAUAUCGAAUGCUCCAUGGUUCGCAGAUAUAGUUAAUUACUUGGCUAGCAACCAGUUCCCAAAUGAUUGGAACAAGCAAGAUGGAUCCAAAUUCCUUGCUAAUGCCAAGUAUUAUUUUUGGGAUGACCCUUACCUUUUUAAGUACUGUCCUGACCAGAUCACUCGUCGUUGUAUUCCCGAUUGGGAACAACAAGAGGUCCUUAAGUUCUGCCAUGAGCAUGCUUGUGGUGGACAUUUCAGUGCCAAAAAGACACCUGCUAAAGUAUUGCAGUGUGGUUUUUAUUGGCCAACCCUCUUUAAGGACUCUCACAUGCAUUGUACUGUCUGUACUCGUUGUCAACAACUAGGGAAAAUCACUAGGCGACACAUGAUGCCCUUAUAACCAAUACUUCCUGUCGAGGUGUUUGAUGUAUGGGGUAUUGAUUUCAUGGGUCCCUUCCCUGGUUGUCAUGUUUUUUUGUACAUUCUAGUUGCGGCAGACUAUGUUUCUAAAUAGAUCGAGGCCAUUCCCACAAGGCACAACGACCAUUAGUGAUGGGGGAGCCAUUUCUGCAAUAAAGCUUUUCGAAAACUUGUCCAAAAAUAUGGAGUUACUCACAAAGUGGCCCUUGCGUACCAUCCGCAAACUAAUGGCCAAGCUGGGGUGUCGAAUAGAGAGAUUAAAACAUUUUGAAAAAAAUAAUUGACCCUGAUAAGGUUGAUUGGUCUCGUAGAGUUAGUGAUGCAUUAUGGGCCUAUCGUACUACUUUCAAAACUCCCAUAGGCAUGUCUCCUUUUCGUCUUGUUUUUAGAAAACCAUGUCACCUACCUGUAGAGCUUGAGCACCGAGCCUUCUGAACAAUGACAAAGCUCAACUUUAAUCUCGACCAGGAAGGUAAGAGGAGAAAACUCCAGCUUUCUGAGCUUGGGGAACUUCGGAAUGAAGCUUAUGAUCUUUCCAAGUCCUCCAAAGCUAAUAUGAAAAAACCACAUGAUCGUCAGAUCUUACGUAGAGAUUUUCAAAUUGGGGACAAAGUUUUACUAUAUAACUCUAGGUUACAUCUAUUUCCUGGUAAACUACAGUCUCGUUGGUCGGGUCCCUUUGUUGUGUCUGCAGUGACACCUUUUGGUACUAUCACUUGUCUAAAUCCUGCAGACAACUCUGAAUUUCAAGUCAAUGGUCAACGUCUUAAGCAUUUCCAUGAAUUAAGGUCCCUUGAAGUAGAGGAAACUCUCUUAGAAGACCCUACCUAUUUAGAAGACCCUCUCUUACUCUACUCUGUUGUCUCUUCCUGGGAGGUGUGGUUGAAAGUGUCGGGGCCAUAGUCCACAAACUCUUACUGGCUGAGUAUAUGUGAUCCAGUGCACGCUUUUUCUCUCGAGCGUCAUCACCAAACAGACCUGUUUUGCCGCUCUAUUUGGGGGUGGGGAAGUCAUUUCACAUCUUCUAUUAAGUCUAGAGUAUCUGACUUUAAAAGACUCGCGUUGUAUAUUAGACAUCAGGAUUUCGCGCAUUCCAUUCUAGCGUUUUGUCUCUCUCGUAUCUUUGUUUAGAGUAGCGUCUAUCUAGGGAGUGAAUCCUAGUUGUCCACCUGUCUGGCUGAAGACGUUAAACUUAGCGCUCCUGGGAGGCAUCCCUGUGUAUCUUCUAAACUCAAUCGUGCGUUAGUGUUUCUUAUUAGUUGUCGGGUUUAGUAGUUAUUGGCUAAUAACUAUUUCUUUAGGAUCCUUGUGCUAGAUCUGUUUGGGGGUGGGCGUAGCCCACCACUCUCUGUUGAGGUUGUUUGGUUAAAUAAGUAUUGCAGUUACAAAUUUGAAAUUAUUUCAAUUUUUGGAAUUGUGUAAUAAUUAUUGCGUGACUUUUGGAUUUUAUUUUGACAUCUUAAUGGUACUUAUAUUCGCGAGAAUAUAUUUAUACAUUAUCACAGAAUUUUCAAAAUUAAAUUUGAAUUAUUUCUUGCCUUUACUCUUUCUAGGGGUAAAACCGUUAUUUCCACUAAUUUCAGUAGUGGGGGAAGCGUCUAGGGGAAAUUACUUCUCUAUAUAAACCCCCGGGUAUUUCUAGAAAGUCCCAAGUCACUUUCAAAACUCAAAGUCAAAACCAAGUCAACAUGGGUCAAACCAUUCAACAGACCCCUUCAUACCUACCAGAACUCGAGUCGAGUUCAGUACAGGCCAUUUCAUUCUCGAUUCGAGAUCCCAAUCAGAUCUGUUUUCUCUCUCUUCGUAUCUCUCUCGUUUCUCAACCAAAUUCAAAAAUUCUUUCGGGGUUUUGCUCCUUGUUCAAUUCUCUUCAAUUCAAUACCAAAAACCCCUAGAAUCAUGCCUCCAAGAAGAAGAGAGAGGGUGAUUAUCCGUGAGCGCGAUUAUUCUCGUCUUUUCGACGAUAAUCGUUUAGGAAGCACCUUUGUAGAGAGGAUUCAUACCCGAGGUUGGGAUGUACUCCUUGGCUCUGAUUACGAGCCAUUUGAUCCUCAAAUUGUUCGUUGUUUUUACGAGUCCAUAGAGUUGGCCGAUGACGAUGUGUACAUCAACUGGGAUCCGGCCCAUCGCUUCUUGCUGACGCCUGAGACUGUCUCCAUAUUCUGACUGCAGUCGAGGACUUGCAGCGUCGCUUCGACGAAGGCCAAGGGCAAUCUCGUCGACGACGGGGUUGAUUUUUAUUUUCUGUUAUUAGCCAUUGUAUUUUGUUUUGUUUUAAUUAUUGCACUCUUGUAUUAAAUUUUUAAUCAUUGUACUUUAUUUCCAAAUAUUAAUGAAAAUGGUUGAAAUUUUAAUUAUUUCGCAAACUUGUCCUUUUCUGAAAAAAAUUUAACCAUUCUUGGGCUUCAUUGUAAAAAUCUGGACUUUUAGAGUAAUUUUGAAAAAUUUUGGUCUUAGGGACCGUAGUCCAAAUAUUUUUAAUAGAAAGAAGGUUAGGGUUUGAUUUUUGGAAACCCUAAGGUUUUAGGCAACUUUUGGAGUCCUACUAGGGCUCAAACUCUUUCAUUCUAGCCUAUAUAUACCCCACCAUGUUUAGAAGACCGUCACUUAAAAAUCAGAAAUUUUCAAAACUUUUUUAUUUUCUGACCUGGGCCCGAACUCGAGUCGAGUUCCUUAUAGGCCAUUCCAAUCUCGAGUCGAUAUUGAACCUGGCAGCAGUUUUCUGAGCUCGUUUUGAGUAAUUCUUUCUCGGUUUUCGUGCUGGUUUUUGGUGUUUUCUUCUUUAUUUUGCAAUGGCUAAUAUUCAAAAUGGGUUGUGGAUGCCCGAUGGCAUGGAUAUCAUCCCCGAGAUGGAUUUUUCGGGAAUUAUGGAUAGUCCUUAUGGAGCUUCCUUUAGGGAUGGGAUUUUUGACAAAGGUUGGGAAGGUUUUCUUUAUGAUUCUACUGCUGUGUAUUCCCCUUUUAUGGUAAGAGAUUUUUACCGUACGUUACCCUUUGGUGAUGCUAUUCCCUUUGAUGGUUUCAAAGUAACUAUGCAUGGGUUCCCCGUAUUUAUCAAUUCUUUUUCUAUCACUCGGGCAUUGGGUAUUCCACUCCAAUUGCGACCUAUUUAUUCACAUCCUGACUACUUCCUCUCCAAUCAUGUUGACAUGUUGGAUAAUUACCUAGAUCACUUUGGCCCUUGCACUUUUUCCUUCCAUCUUGAGAAUUAUGCUAAUAUGGCACCUACCACUUGCCUACCUGCUAACGUAGCUACUACUGCUUUAUGGGUCAUGAGGAAUUUAUUAGGUGCAGAUAGGUUGGAUUAUGUCAAUGAUACCACAAUGCAUGUUGUUUACGGCAUUGUUAAUAAUUUUAAUGCUCUUGACAUUGCAUCCUGGUUAAUGGAUGGCAUUCGGAAUGUUUUCCAAAUUGGUCAGCUAAUUUACCCUACUUCUAUCUGUAAGAUCAUCCUUCGUACUUAUGCUGAUUGGAGGAAUAGGUACAAUGAUUGGACUCACCUUAUCCCUAUGGAUCCUACACAUCAUUUUAUCAGGAGAAGUCGCCUAUUCACUUAGGUGCCUAACACUGUACGAAGGAUCAUGUUUGUUCUUAUUGUUCAUUGUGAUUCAAAGUUCUUAAUACUUAUUUGCUUCUAAUUCGCGAUAUGAUGUAAGUAUGAAUAUUUGCAUGUUAUUGUUAUCCAUGAUGUUAAAAUAUUAUUAUUAGGGUUUAGGGAGACCUAGCUUUAAUGGUAGUAUUUAUAUUUAUUGUAGUUUUGUAGUGAAAUAGCUGAGAGGUGAUUAUUACAUGUUUAUAAUAUAUAUCUUUUAUUGGAACCCUUUUGUGAUUAAAUCAAAUAGCUGAGAGGUGAUGAUUUAGUUAUGAAUAAUAUGUUAAGUUAAUUAGAUUGAAUAGCUGAGAGGUGACGAUUUAAUUAAUGAAACAUAUUCAAUAGCAUGCAUAAUAGAAUUUCGUUUUAAUUAGGUGGAAUAGCUGAGAGGUGACUACUUGAUUAUUAUAGGUAUUAAUAAUUAGUUGGAAAAUCGAGAGGUGACUUAUUGGUUAUUAUAGAUUGAACAUGAAGAACAACAUGAUAUGAUUGCAUGAUUUAGAUUAUGGAUACCAACUACUCCCCCUAUGUCAUCAUAUAUCUUCUUGUCCAUAUCUUCCAUAUUCUUAAGUUAGGAUUUAUUAUUUAUUAUUGCCUGUAGGAAGUAGAAUCAAUCAUUCAUCUUAUUUAUUGAUUCCCUUGGUGUUUCUUAAUUAUUAUUCUUAAUUGUGUUUGAGCUAAGAUCUCCCCCCCCCCCUGAGGUGGGUACGACCCUUGCUUGUUACUUGUCUACUUUGAUCUUCAAUUUAUACAGGCACAAGAAGGAACUUCAAGUAAAAAUCUAAUCUUUUGAUAGUAGCGUCAAAAACCGAUUAUUAGAUACGUAGGCAACUAAGAAACAACUUAGUGCAACCAUUAUCAAUCAUCUAAACCCUAUUCCUUCAUCUCCAUCUUACGUAUUAGUGUUUUAGAUGUGUCAUAUGUGUACAUAAAAUUAGUUCCACUAGGGUUAACAGCACCCAUACGUGGUAGUGUUUUAAAUGUAUCAUACGUGUAUGUAAAAUUAGUUCCACUAGGGUUAACAGCACCCAUACAUGGUAGUGUUUUAGAUGUAUCGUACGUGUGCGUAAAAUUACUUCCACUAGGGUUAACAACACCCAUACGUGGUAGUGUUUUAGAUGUAUCAUAUGUGUACGUAAAAUACUGAAAAAAAUGUGAUAACAAGAUGUGAAUGUAGAAGAAAUUUAACAUUCAUGAAGUUAGCAAUAGCUAAAACAAUUUACAUGUACUUAGCAAUAACAUAGAGUCUUCUAUCAACAAUUUAUAACAAUCAAAGUUCUGAUCAAAACACUACAACUUGUCCAAAGUAAGUCAUCCAUCCACAAGAUAUUGAUAUUCUUCAGUCCAACACCUUGGGUUUUUCUUCAGGAUCGAAACUGCCCAUUGAGCACGUGGUUUUGGUCCCAAAUUCCCAUCUACAUUAUCUGGUACAUGGUUUAGAAAGGUCAAAGCUUCCCUGAUCAAGCCAACAUAAAUAGCACAAUCAUUAGUUUGACCUUGUCGUGGUGUUGUAGCUUCUUCCAAUGGAAGAUCCAACCUUAGUGGUUCGUUUUGCAGCUUCAUCUUAAACCUUUUGUUGAUUAGGAGAACAAGAUGGCUCUUCUGUUUUUCAAGCAAAAUUAAUAUGCUAUCAACUUUUGUUUUCUUAGAAAACAAAUAAAAUAAAUAUAAACACAAAUCAAUAUGUUAUCAACAUAAACCUACACUGGCCAUACUGAUAACAUGAUAUUAUCAGAGAUACCAAAACUGAUAACAUCAUGUUAUCAGGGAAACCUAUACACUGGACAUAAUGACUGAUAACAUGAUGUUAUCAGGGAAACCAAAAUUGAUAACAUCAUGUAAUCAGGGAAACCUACACUGGACAUAGUGACUGAUCACUAGACGAGGCGCACAGGAGAAGCAACAUCACAAAGUUACAAGCCUGUUAGGAGGAUGGGACACUCUGAUUCAGGAUAGGGGUCAAACAGAAGCUGCUAGGUAGUCAGGCUCCUGUUGGGCAUACAUUGCAGACCUGUCUCUGCAGGCCGUUUCCACUGUACUGUGUGGUUUUUGUUUCUUUUCUGUUUCUUUCUGUACAAACCACUCUUUGUAUGACGAACAGUUUGAAAUGAAUGAAAUAUUUUUACCUUGAUCAAAAAAAAAAAAAGAUAACAUUAUGGUAUCUGAUAAGAUACCAAAACUGAUAACAUCAUGUUAUCAGGGAAACCUAUACACUAGACAUAGUGAUUGAUAACAUGAUGUUAUCAGGGAAACCAAAACUGAUAACAUCAUGUAAUCAAGGACACCUACAAUGGGCAUAGUGAUAACAUGAUGUUAUCAGAAAAUACCUACACUGAUAAUCUCAUGUUACUAAUCUAUUGUUUUGUUUUGUUCAAAUAAAAUCAUACCCAUAUUUGCUUGGUCGUAUGCGACUUUGUUUGGCUUCAAUUCUUUCGUUGUUCUCAUGGAGUUGUAUUGUACCCAUCUCUUCUUCUUAAGAUCACAGACAAGAAAUGUCCAAUAAAAGGGUUUCUUGUUUUUAGGUGUCUUUCCAGAUAGGAUGGGGAUGAAGAUCAUGUCUACAUCAAUGUCCAUGUUUUCAAUUGGUGUAUUGAUAUCUGAUUGUUGAGAUUCUGGGAAGUCCCUCAAACAUGUCUUCAUAGUUAUAAAAAUAAGAGUUAAGUUAUUUUAUUGUAAAUUCCUUACAAACAAAAAAAGAGCUCAUAAAAUGAUGUUAUCAAGGAUAACUCUUGUGAUAUAAUCAUGUUACCAGCUUUGGUUUUCUUACAAACAAAAUAAUAAAGAGGUUAUAGUCUUACCUAGGCAAGGGCAUUGAUAUAACAACACUUUCGCAUUUUUGGAGUACCAGUAUCAAGAAUUUUAUGUCGAUACUUGAUGUUCCAGUAAAACCAAUUUAUAAGUUGAUAAUUAAUGUGUAAGAAAAACGAUCCUACUAUCAAAAGAUUAGAUUUUUACUUGAAGUUCCUUCUUGUGCCUGUAUAAAUUGAAGAUCAAAGUAGACAAGUAACAAGCAAGAGUCGUACCCACCUCAGGGGGGGAGAUCUUAGCUCAAACACAAUUAAGAAUAAUAAUUAAGAAAAACCAAGAGAAUCAAUAAAUAAGAUGAAUGAUUGAUUCUACUUCCUACAGGCAAUAAUAAAUAAUAAAUCCUAACUUAAGAAUAUGGAAGAUAUGGAAAAGAAGAUAUAUGAUGACAUAGGGGGAGUAGUUGGUAUCCACAAUCUAAAUCAUGCAAUCAUAUCAUGUUGUUCUUCAUGUUCAAUCUAUAAUAACCAAUAAGUCAUCUCUCGGUUUUUCCAACUAAUUAUUAAUACCUAUAAUAAUCAAGUAGUCACCUCUCAGCUAUUCCACCUAAUUAAAACGGAAUUCUAUUAUGCAUGCUAUUGAAUAUGUUUCAUUAAUUAAACCCUCACCUCUCAGCUAUUGAAUCUAAUUAACUCAACAUAUUAUUCAUAACUAAAUCAUCACCUCUCAGUUAUUUGAUUUAAUCACAAAAGGGUUCCAAUAAAAGAUAAGUAUCAUAAACAUGUAAUAAUCACCUCUCAGCUAUUUCACUACACAUCUACAAUAAAUAUAAAUACUACCAUUAAAGCUAGGUCUCCCUAAACCCUAACAAUAAUAUUUUAACACUAUGGAUAACAAUAGCAUGCAAAUAAUCAUACUUACCUCAUAUCGCGAAUUAGAAGUAAAUAAACAUUAAGAACUUUGAAUCACAAUGAACAAGAAGAAGAAACAUGAUACUUUUACAUCACCUAGAAAGCUUCCACCAUCCCCCCAUAAAGAUUUAGCUACUCAUACCAAAGGAAUAAAUAAAUAAAUCAUAAAACAUCAUAAUGGAAUUUAAUGGAUUGAUAUUGAAUAAUGAAUUGAGUACAAAUGAAGAAGAAGAUCAACUCUUCUUCAAUGAAAGUUGAUCUUAAAGUGGAGGCUAAAAGAUAAUAAACCCUAGUUACAACUUUUCUUUAUAUAGACAAUACAAAGUAGAAUACUUGCAUGCAAAGACUUCCAAACUUGGUGAAAUUAGUAGCUGCUGUUGUUGGUCUCCUCGAGGGAUUAGGCAAUCAGCAAAACCUAAUUCUCUUGGGCUUGAAUUGUAGCUUGGGCCAAGACCUUUAUUGUAAUAGCUCAUGGGCCCAAAUUGGACUUUUGGAUCUUCUUGUGGAGCCUUUUUAAGAUUAAGACCCAAAAUAGGAAGUUAGGUCAACAAAAGUCAACAGAGUUGACCAAAAGUCAGCAAAGUCCAACAGUUGACCAAAAGUCAACAAAAGUCAAAGUUGACCAAAAAGUCAAGUCAACAUGGUUGACCGCGGGGUGUCCUUAGUAGAUUUCGUGAGUGCAAAUAUCCAUUCUUCUUCCCUUGUGCCAAUAACACUUCUUUGCUUGUUUUUCUCGACUUUUUGCGAGCUUUUACAUAAUAUUCGCAUUUCGGCUAAUGAAACCUACACAAAAGACAAGAAAGCACUAAUCAAUAGAUAUAAUACAAUAAUAUAAGCUAAGUGCUAGACAAACAAGGUGUUAUUCGGGGGAUAAAUAUACACUUUUGAGGUCCGAUCAAUAAUCAGUUAGGUCAUUCCAAAGGAAAUCUACGAUGUGACUACAACAUAGAUUAAUGCCAUCACCAGACCAACAAGUAGUUCUGCAAAAUUUUAAAAAAAAAGAAUUUAAUAAAUAUUAUAUCGGGCUGUCUAGGCUGCCAUCCUUAGGAUGACAUCCAUCUUGACAACCCAUCUUAGUUGUUGUUAUAAAUGAGAUCUAAUGGCUUAGAUAUAUUACAAUCUCAUUACCUAAAACCUUGAGGGCAGCUCAGUCAUUCCACUAUCUUUCUUCUUUUCUUUCUCUUAAUCAGACAACAACUUCUGAUCUCACUAGUGACCACAGACAAUUUUCUCUCUAAUCAAAUCCAAGCUUCACAAUAGCAAAGUUCAUCUUCUUGAAUGGUUUAGGGAUGAACCAACAUUACUUUCACAUUUGGAUUCACAAAGAAGCCGGUCUAGGAAAGAACAGAUAGAAGAUGAAUAAAAAUAUAUAAGAAGAACUCAAGUAUAUGACUAUCGACGAUAUUCGAAGGUGCAGAAAUUUUACGAAGCAUUACUCAAUGAAAUCUAUAAUAUUUGCAAACAUAUAUAAUCUCUAACACUAAGUGAAAUCUUCAUUUGAAACUCAUCUCUAGAACAAAUUGUAUUUUCCCAAACCAAUAUUACAUCAACCCAAAUUUAACUUCUGAUUAACUGUAAAUUUAGGGAAAAUUGGCGAUAACCCCCCACAUUAUGGUCACUCUUGGCAAAAACCCCCUCUUUUGUCCAUUUUUGGCGUUAACCCCCCAACCCCCAAAAUUAGACCUUAUGUUGCCCAGUUUACCCCUGACCCCUCCUAUUUGAGUAAACCCCCUAAUUUAACGUCAACAGAAAUUAACUAACAGAUGUUAACUCUGUUUCUACCAACUCUUAUUUGCAUAAACCCCCAUUUAUCUUAGUAUUUGCCUAAACCCCCCUAUUUGUCAUAGUAUUAGACAUUACCCCCACUGCAGAAAUAAAACCAGAUUUGAAGAAGAAGGAAGAUGGAGAAGAAAGCUCAGAUCUGUUGACAGAAAAGAAGAAGAAGAAGAAGAAGAAGAAAAAGAAGAAGAAACUUACCUUUUCACUUGUAGAUCCUUCACCACGUUUCAUGAUUUUGAAUAGUUCAAAAUUCAAAUUUAAAGAUAGAAGAAGAAGAAGAAGGAGGAGGAGGAUGAAUGAGAGAAGAAGAUAGAGAUAUCUUCCUUUUAAGGAGGAAGAUAACCUCACAACGGAUACUUUACGCACGUUGGAUGGGCGACACGUGGACUGGUGGUGAAGUAAAAAANNNNNNNNNNNNNNNNNNNNNNNNNNNNNNNNNNNNNNNNNNNNNNNNNNNNNNNNNNNNNNNNNNNNNNNNNNNNNNNNNNNNNNNNNNNNNNNNNNNNNNNNNNNNNNNNNNNNNNNNNNNNNNNNNNNNNNNNNNNNNNNNNNNNNNNNNNNNNNNNNNNNNNNNNNNNNNNNNNNNNNNNNNNNNNNNNNNNNNNNNNNNNNNNNNNNNNNNNNNNNNNNNNNNNNNNNNNNNNNNNNNNNNNNNNNNNNNNNNNNNNNNNNNNNNNNNNNNNNNNNNNNNNNNNNNNNNNNNNNNNNNNNNNNNNNNNNNNNNNNNNNNNNNNNNNNNNNNNNNNNNNNNNNNNNNNNNNNNNNNNNNNNNNNNNNNNNNNNNNNNNNNNNNNNNNNNNNNNNNNNNNNNNNNNNNNNNNNNNNNNNNNNNNNNNNNNNNNNNNNNNNNNNNNNNNNNNNNNNNNNNNNNNNNNNNNNNNNNNNNNNNNNNNNNNNNNNNNNNNNNNNNNNNNNNNNNNNNNNNNNNNNNNNNNNNNNNNNNNNNNNNNNNNNNNNNNNNNNNNNNNNNNNNNNNNNNNNNNNNNNNNNNNNNNNNNNNNNNNNNNNNNNNNNNNNNNNNNNNNNNNNNNNNNNNNNNNNNNNNNNNNNNNNNNNNNNNNNNNNNNNNNNNNNNNNNNNNNNNNNNNNNNNNNNNNNNNNNNNNNNNNNNNNNNNNNNNNNNNNNNNNNNNNNNNNNNNNNNNNNNNNNNNNNNNNNNNNNNNNNNNNNNNNNNNNNNNNNNNNNNNNNNNNNNNNNNNUAAGGACCCCCAUGGCUAGAACUGGACAACAACACAACCUUCACCUUAUAACGAUCCAAACAUUUGGCAAUCUUUUGGAGCACCCAACCUGUCAUAUCAAAAAAUGAACGCCCACCUUUCAAUGUCAUUAAAUGUCUUGCAAAGAAGGUUCAUUACCAUGCGGAUGUUCUUGAUAUAGUGCAACCUACCUAAAUAAACACCCUUAAAACCAAAAAUCAAAAUACAAUUAUAUACAUGCAUUGUUCUGACUUAGAAUCAAUAUUUUCUGUGCAUUUGUGGUGCAGCUUAGCUAGCUAGUUUUCAUUGCGUUGUACAACAUUCAAAGAGAAUUAAACCAUUUGAAACUUCUUGUGAGAGCUCUCCACAGUCCAUUUCCAUAUACUGGUGGUUACUUGACUCUCAUUUAGAACAAAGAAAAACACCCAGAACUAUGGUAUAACACUCAAUACAAAUUAUGUUUCUAUAAAAAAAAAAAAAAAGCUUAAUAAUGAGUACUGAUCAGAAAAGAAAUAGCCUUGAAUGUCCUAAAUAUCAACCACUACAACAAAUUACAUAUACUAUGGAUAACUGCCAAAAAUGAACUCUGACAAGUAUUUACAUGAGCAUGUGAGUUCAUAAAUCAUGUUUUACAAACAAUGCAUUCAGUGGUUCCCUUGUACAAUGUUUUUGGGAAUGUUAUCAUAUAAAUGACUUAUUGGUAUUACUGAUAUUAAUAAUAUUACUGCUACUAAUAAUUUUUGUUUGACAAAUAAAAUGAAAUGAAUACCAAUGUACACUGUACAGUAGCAUGCAAUUAACAGUGAACAAAUAAGUAUUUAGGGUGAUUUAGGUUUUGGUCACCACUUUUGAGUAUUAAUUAGGUUUUGGAUCUGUUGUUAGGAUUAAUUCAGUAUACAGCCAUACCCAUUAGUACCCCGAUAAAUUAUGUACUUAGACCAUAGGAAUACAGGUGAGGGUAUAUUACCUUCAGUUUGUGGAAGAAGGAUCUCAAGAGUUUCAGGAGUGAUGAACGAAUGGGUCUAUUUCACUUCCAGACCUGAUUAUAGUAAUACCAGAAACAUCAUUUGGUGAUCUAUAANNNNNNNNNNNNNNNNNNNNNNNNNNNNNNNNNNNNNNNNNNNNNNNNNNNNNNNNNNNNNNNNNNNNNNNNNNNNNNNNNNNNNNNNNNNNNNNNNNNNACCUUAAAAUCACCCAAGUAUUUACCAAUCCAUACAAGUUGACAUUUAACACUAGAAUAACCUAAAUCCCAAGCUAUAAUUUUACCUUCAAGUAAGAGUAUUUAAGUUCUGAUUUGAUUCUUCCGCCUUCCUGAACUCCUCUAGUAUGUCCUCUUUAAGCUCUUCAUAUGUGGGUUCCAAUUUGUCUAUACAAACACAAAAUAACUAAAUUCAACCAUUAGUGCAAAUCAUACCGUAACAAUCAAGUGUUCAAAACAUACACUAAUAUAUAAAAAGUUACCUUUCUUUUUACACAUCCAAUCAUUGGUGCAAAUCAAAGCUUGAAGUUUUCGGGUAAAAGUGCACUACGAUAUUGAUAAAAAAAAAACCUACCACCCGCACUAAAGGCAAAUUCGGAAGCGACAAUAGAAAGAAUAGAUAACAAAUCACAAGCCAACCUUGAAAGUUCUGGAUACUGAAACUGGUUAGCUUUCCAAAAGACAAGAACAUCCAACUUGUCUGAUAUCUUCAUUCUUGGUUCCGCUAAGUAUAGUUCCAGCUGACUCUGUUGGGUUGUAGAACUAUUACACUCCUCGCUCUCAUGAAAUCCCUACACCAUAAAAAACACAAGUACAUUUUAUGUUAAGAAUGAUAAUAACAUAAAAAUCAUAGUGGAAAUAAAUUAAUUAUACCUGCAAAAAAUUGUUCUCAUGUAUUGUGUUGUAAACUUGAGGUUGAUCACUUCCUUGUGUUACAGUAGGUUCCGGGAUAGAAUAGGCUUUCACAUACAAACUGAAGAGGUUAAACAAAGACUCACGAACAAACUGCAUUUGUUAAGAGUUAGGCCCAUAGAGUCGUGCCUAACAAAACUCGACAAUAUUAAGUUUAUAUCUUGGAUCCAUAACCACACAAAUAACAAGAAUCUUAUUAUGGUCAGACCAAUACUUGUUGAACUUCAAUUCCAUAUUCCUUCCCAUCUUACUCAUAAAACUAUCCGGAUCAUGACUGCAUUCUGAAUAACUUGUUGAAUUUCACAAACUUGAGGAAAAAAUAAGUUGGAGGUGGGGUACAGUGUCUCAGAAAACAACUUAGUGACUUUUGCAAACGUGCCCAAGAACUUACAAAAAUUUUCAAGUUGUUCCCAAUCAUCCUUAGAAGGGCACUCUCACAUUUGUAUAAUUUGUAUCUGGGCCUAAGGACAAAUUAAUAAAAGCCACACGGUAAAAUAGUGCACUAUCAAACAUAUAAUAAGUGGAAUCCCAUCAAGUAGAAAUAUCUUGUCUCAAUCCCUUGCUAGUAGGCCUCCCUACUGCCUUCACACUCUCAUAAAAAACCUUCUUUCUAGCUUGUGAACCUUAAAUAUAUUUAACACUCUCCCGAACUUUAAUACCCGCUGGAUCAACAUCUUUCAAAUCAUCAUGCACUAUCAAAUUAAGAAUAUGGCAACGACAACAAAUGUGGAAAUAUUCUCCAUUAGACACAAGUGCAUCUCUAAGGUUAAGUUGACUCCUUAGCAAAUUAACACAUACAUCAUUAGAAGAUGCAUUAUCUAAAGUCAUUGAAAACAACUUCUUCUCAAUGCCCCAAUCACACAACAAUGAGUAUAUUUUCUCACAUAUUGCUGCACCAGUUUGUGGAGUAGGCAUGUACGAAAAGCUUAAUAUUUUCUUUCGCAAAUUCUACUCGUUAUCAAUAAAAUGGGCAGUUAAAGUGAUAUACCCAUCAUUUGCAAUAGAAGUCCACAAAUCAGAAGUCACACAUAUCUUCCCACUAAUUGAAUGCAACAACUUUUUCAGGUUUACUUUCUCCCUAACAUAUAUCUUAUUGAUAUCAGACUACAAAGUGUUUCUAAACUUCAGCUUUACUUGAUCCUCUGAAUUAGCUAAACUCGCAUACUGAAUGAGUUCUCUAACACCUUCAUACUCGACAAAUUGAUAUGGAAGAUCAUGAACAAUUGUCAUACUUACUAGCUCACGAAAUACAUCAGGAUUAAAUCUGGAUGGCUUAAUACACAAGGUUACAUCAGAAGUGCCUAUAUACAUUUGGCCCCUAUAUCACGAUAACUAGUUUUCUGACACUUUCGAGUAUGUCGUGUGGCAUUUCCCGUUCCUUGACUAAUAUCAGCUCUGAGUUUAUGGCCACAUUUUUUACAAGCCACCAUUACAUACCCAUUCUCAUUCACUCCGGGCAAAGUAUUAUAAUGAUCCCAAGCUUUAGAUACAAAAGUACGAGUGCGUGUAAUGGAACUUUUACAUGUUGAGGUUUGGUCUUCGACAUUGCCUUCCAUAUCAACAUCUAUGAGAUCGUUUUCCGUAAGAUCCACAACGUCUUCCAUCUGAAAAUUUAAGAAAAAAAAAAUACAAAUACAACUUAAUACAUGGAUUAAUACUUAAUCAGAUUACAGAAAUGAACUGAACGUAUAUUCAAGAUUGUGUUUGAUUUUAAUAUACUAUACUACUAUAGCCAAUGAUUCAUUGUCACUACAAACCUUGUCUAAAAGCAAACAAAAUUCUAAACAAUCAAAAUGUUCAAACUCUGGUUCCCCAUGUAGAACAACAAGGUAAACCAAAUUGCUCUUCACAUAUGUAUUAUCAUCAAAGGAAUGCUUGCCACUUACUACUAAUUAAUUAAAAACACUUACUUUGUGCAAUAAGAAGGCACAAAGAGAGAAAAUUAAAUAGAGGUGUGAAACAAUAAUUACAGGAUAUGAUCCAAAGUUGUUUUGAAAAUUGAGAUAUAGAUUUCAUAAAUUCAAAUUCAGUUGGUGAAAUUGAUAAUUCAAUGCCAAAGACAUUCAUAUCUACAACAACAUACAUAUACAUGUGAAGGUAAUACUGUAUGUCUGUAUGUGAGAUUAAUUAAACAACAGUAUGUGAGAUUAAUUAAACUGUAUGUGAGAUUAAUUAAAUAAAUUCAGUCGAGUGGAGAAGAAGAAGAAGGCAAUUAAAACAAUAAUCUUUGAUAAUUAAACUCCAAAAAAAAUUGAAGAUCUUGAAUUAUUAAAAAUACCCAUUUCGAUCACAUACUCAAACAAAAUAAUUAAAUUCCACAAAAUUUGAAGAUCUUUAAAGGAUUAAUUGGAGUGUUUUGAAAAUCUAAAACUGAGGUGUUUUAAUCUUUGUCAAGAUAUGAUAAUGAACAUUAAACAUUAGUAAUUGACUAAUUGUCUAUGUACUUCACAAGCUUGGAAUUGCUCAUGGUAAAAUGAAUAUUUGCUUAACUCACUACAAAGAGAAGAGAAUACAGUAUUCUGAAUACUGAAGUGGGGUUUGUUGGCUUAGUGGUUAUCUUCUUAGUACAGUAGAGGAAGAAGAAAGAGAAGAACCAGGUCGUCCAAGCGAGUGAAAAAGGAGAAGAACCAAGCGAUUAAUCGAAAUCGAUAAGUUAAAAUCCAGAGAGGGAGAGAAACGAUAGAGAGAUAGAACCAGUAAAAACUAAAACUUGUAUUAGGUUUUUUUUUUUUGUCAGGUUUCAGGUCGACCUGACGGGUCUACAAGAAAAACUUGAACCUGAUCUGAAUGUAUAUCAGAUCAAUCGGGUCGACCUGAUAAGCCUAAAAAUCAAAGAUAUUCAAACGUUUCGGGUCAAGUUAAGGUCGGGUUUCGGGUCGCUAGGUCUAAUUGCCACCCCUAGUGAUAACAUGAUUUUAUCACAUGACUUGUCACUGAUAACAUCAUGUUAUAAGCUUUUAUUUUGUUAUUAAGAAAAUGAAGGUGAUAACAUGAUGUUAUCGGUAGACUAAUCCUUGAUAACAUCAUAUUACCACAAUAAUGUUUCAUAAUUAAAAUAUUUUUUUUCUUAUUUCAAUUAGUGACAAAGAUGAACUUACUUUUCCGCCUUUUCUUGGCAGCUUUUUCCUGGAAGUCUUUGUCACUGUCAUCCCCAUUGUCCUUGCUUUCCUUGUCUUUUGUUUCUCCACAUUUUCUUUUGCCAGUCUUAUUCUUUCCUUUUUUUUCCUUUGUCAUCCUCUUUUUCAUUUUCUUUCGCCCAUCAUUUUCAUCUUUCAUUUCUACUUCGUCAAUCUUAUCUUUUUUUUCAUUUUCUUUCGCUUCAUCAUUUCCAUCUUUCAUUUCUGCUUCCUCAACCUCAUCAUUUUUUUCUUCAACAUUUCCAAUUCAUUUCAUGCUUGUUGUAGUUGAUCUUUUUAUGCAUCAAUAUGUUCCUUAUCAACAUCACUUAUAAAUGCCAACUUAUCAUUAAGUUCCUUGAAUCGAGUUUCCAAAUUAUUUUUCUCUUUUUUCACUUUCAUUUUCAGUUUUAGUCUCUUCCAACUCCGCUUUAAGCUUCUCAAUUUCAUUCUAUUUUUCAGCCAAUACCAUUUUCGUAUUCUCAUCCUCCAUGAUUGUUGUAGCAAUAUCUUGUGCCUCUUCUAGAUUCCAUUCCUUCUCUCUCAGUGAUAAGUUUAGUAAGUCUGUUACAGCAUCAUCUUCUUCAUUAUUUUUUGUAAGCAUAUUUCUUUUCGUUUCUUCCAACAGUUCCUUCAUUUUUUGUUUCCUUUGGUUCAAUUGAUCCUCUUCUAGCAUAGCAUAUUCUUCAUCAGUUGUUUACUAUUUUUUCAAUAACCUGCACAACCAAGAAACCUACAGUGAAUACACAACUAAUAUCAUUUAAUUAAAAAAAAAAACUUAUACUGAUAACACCAUGUUAUAACACAAACUUACACUGAUAACAUUAUGUUAUCAGAAUUGACUACACUGAUACCAUCAUGUUAUCAGAGAAACCUACAUUUACAAUAGUGAUAAUAUGAUGUUAUCAGAGAUACCAAAACUGAUAACAUAAUGUUAUCAACAUAAACCUACACUGGCCAUAAUGAUAACAUGAUGUUAUCAGAGAUACCAUAACUGAUAACAUCAUGUUAUCAGAGAUAUCAAAACUGAUAGCAUCAUGUUAUCAGGGAAACCUACACUUGCCAUAGUGAUAACAUAAUGUUAUCAAAUAUACUAAAACUGUUAUACAUGACUAUAAUGACAUAUAUAAAUGAUUUUGCAAUUACUAAUCAAAAUGUGAUUGAUUGAAAUACCUUCAGACCCUUCCAUGAUGAUUUUUUUUUUGUUUUCUUUGAACUUCUUGAUGAAUUCAUUCAAAUCCGAUCUUGCUAUCCUUGGAGUCUCAUUUUCAAAGGUUUCCCUUCUAGUAAUAACAUCUGUAUGCUCACAAAGCCACAGCUGCAAAGUAAACAACAAGUUAGUUCAUUAUUUUAUAGAUUAAGAACCAAAAACAAAAAGUUUGAUCAAGUUUUCUGUUUACUUACCAACAAUGUCAGUGUACUCCCACCAAUCAAUGCUUCAUUUUUUAUUUUUUUUUUCUUCAUCAUGUACUCUCGAAUUCGAGCUUCAAGUAGUGAUGGACAAGUGUUGGCCAAUCAUAAUUUUGAAGAUUCUCCAACUUGUCCAUCAUUGGAAUUAUCCAAGUCAUCACCUUUCCUGCUGAGUUGGUGAAGAGGAUUGUGGAUGUGAAAUAAAGGAUUAGCAACUUUGAAACAUCUAAUAUAUCUUCUGGAGUUGGUUCUUCAAUGUUAAGCUUCUGAUGAAUUUCCUUCAAAAUCAUAUCUUUACUAUAAUCUUUCUUCUUCCUAGAAUAAGAUUUAUUCUUCUUCGAGGAUGCCAUUUUCUUUUUUUUUCCUCCAUCCUUCUUUGUUCUUUGUUUGGACAUCUCUUUUAGGAUAGGAAACAUUCUAACUAUCCAUUCAUUUUCACUCCUAUCAAGGGAGAUCUUCUUAUUGAAGUCCACCAAAUCUGUUUCGAUGUCAUGCCCAAGAUAAGGACAACAUCAGUGGGGGGUGAAGCUCACCUUCUUACCUCCAAUCUUGAAGUAGUUUUUCUUACCAUCAUAUGUUGACAACAAAGACAAUACUUCUUCAUUUAUGUUCUUGUGUUGAUUAUCAGAGAUUCUUUUUUAAAGAAAAGCUUUGAAGAGGCUUUCGAAGAGUGUUGCAUAGAGGUAUUCAAGAUGCCCAAACUUCAGCAAUUCAGAUAUAUCCUUGAAGAAAGUUACAACACUGUAAAGGCUAGUCUUGAUGUACCAUGUGGUGUCUUUAGCCAACUUUUUCCUUUCUUUACCAGCUACCUUUGGCUUUUUGGGUUUGCACUUGUUUCUUUUGUUGUUGACUGUCCCGACUUUUGAGGGCUCUUAGUUUGACUUCUUGUUUGUCUUUUUGCUGGUACCUGGAAAAAAAACAUUGAUGUGAUGACAACAUGUUAUCAUUGGAAUUUUGUUUGAUAACAUCAUGUUAUCAGUGUCCUACAUUAUUUUGAAAUAAAACUUAAAUGUGAUAACAUCAUGUUAUCACCCAAACCCACACUGAUAACAUUAUGUUAUCACACAAUUUCGAUGAUAACAUCAUGUUAUCGGUGUCCUACAUUAUAUUGGAAUAAAACUUAAAUAUGAUGACAUGAUGUUAUCACUGGACAACUGGACAAGUCCACUGAUAACAUCAUGUUAUCACCCCAACCCACACUGAUAACAUUAUGCUAUCACACAAUUUCUAUGAUAACAUCAUGUUUGAUAACAUGAUGUUAUCACCCUUUUAUUCUACUUGUAAGAAAACAUUAUAUAUAUAAGGGUGAUUUAGGUUUUGGUCACCACUUUUUAGUAUAAAUUAGGUUUUGGAGCCGGUUUUUUUCUUUAUUAGGGUUAGANNNNNNNNNNNNNNNNNNNNNNNNNNNNNNNNNNNNNNNNNNNNNNNNNNNNNNNNNNNNNNNNNNNNNNNNNNNNNNNNNNNNNNNNNNNNNNNNNNNNNNNNNNNNNNNNNNNNNNNNNNNNNNNNNNNNNNNNNNNNNNNNNNNNNNNNNNNNNNNNNNNNNNNNNNNNNNNUUAGGGUUAGUGAUCACGUGCAGAUCACGUGAGUUUCAGGGGUAAACUUAGGUAUUUUGACAAUAUUUUCGGUUCAACCGGGUUUUUUUAGUUGUUGGUUCGAAAAUGAGCUUUAAACCCUAAUAAAGAAAAAAACCGGCUCCCAAACCUAAUUUAUACUAAAAAGUGGUGACCAAAACCUAAAUCACCCUAUAUAUAAUUUGAAAACAAAAUCUCACUACCUCUUCAUUUUCUUGUUUUUCAUCCUCUUCCUCUUCAUUUUCUUGUUCUUCAUCAUUUUCAUCAUUUUCAUCAUCUUAUUGUUGUUCUUCUUCUUUUUCUCCAUCUUCCCCUUCAUUUUUUUUUUUUAUAAAAUUCAAAUUUUUAUUGAUAAGCUCAAUGAAUUACACAAAAGUAGAGGACAAACGCGCUACAAACUGCGCGGCAAGGAAACAUCAUCUUAUCAUCUUUAAAAUUGGUGGUAAGGAAACAUGAAAAGGAAGAGACUAUGUUAUAUGUGUUUAUAGAAGAAAUUACCUCAUUAGAACGUGAACAGGAUGAUGUUGGACGAGAAGACAUUUCCUUUUCUCGUGCCUUUUGGUUUGGACUUGAACCCUAUUUCAGAUAAGAAAAAAUAUAUUACAUAGAAUUCUGAAACAAAUCGUCUAGGCAAAGCCACGAAUGAUAUAAGCAAAGUCUUACCUUCUCAGUUAGUUUCACAAGUUGUUUAGGCCACGCAACGAAUGAUUCGUGGGCAUCUUCAAUGGUUUCCAUGUUAUUUGUAGGUACUAGUAGACGUGCUUUAGGAAACACUACAUUAUCGAUGCUCACUCGUACGUUGUCCUCACCUAAACGUAUACUAUGGAUGAGUUCUUCAGGUCCGCUCUUUUCCUAGACACAACCAUAAACAAUAAUCUUGCUCAUCCUCAAACUAUAUUUUUGUCAUAAUACACAAACAAGUAUUAACACUAUGAAAAAUAUUAACACUAUGUGUGGCAGGCUUGGUCAAGUUUAUGCAGUAACAUAAGCUUCAAGCAUGGUACGUUAGAUGUCAUCAAUUGGGGAGUUGACAAUGCCUUGUUUUUGUUUUGGUCGUUGUAAUCCUGGCCAUGUUCAUCCUCUUCUCGACUACUAGAACUAGAACAUGAACCCUAAAAAAAAAACAAUUAUAAUGAAUAUUUAAAUGAUGUUAUCAAUGCUAUCAAAGUACAAGCCCAGUUUCAAAGUACAACCCGGAAUAAGCUCGACCCCAGCCAGGUGUUGCUCCCUAGACCCGCAGCGUCGUCGCUAACCAAGUCGUAGGGUGGCAAAUGUCUAUCCUCAAGACACCAAUCUCGAGGAUCACUAAGCUCCUAAUAGGAUACAACUGUAUCAGUUUCACUCCAAAGACAAAUAAAAAAAAAAGGUGAUAACAUCAUGUUAACAAAGUACAAGCCCACUGAUAUCAUGAUGUUAUCAACUUCAAUUUCACUCCAAAGACAAAAAAAAGGUGAUAACAUCAUGUUAUCAAGGUACAAGCCCACUGAUAUCAUGAUGUUAUCACCUUCAGUUUCAUUCCAAAAAGAAAAAAAAAAGGUGAUAACAUCAUGUUAUCAAAGUACAAGCCCACUGAUAUCAUGAUGUUAUCACCUUCAGUUUCAUUCCAAAGACAAAAAAAAAAGGUGAUAACAUCAUGUUAUCAAAGUACAAGCCCACUGAUAUCACGAUGUUAUCAACUUCAGUUUCACUCCAAAGACAAAUAAAAAAAAGGUGAUAACCACAGAUAUCAUGAUGUGAUCACCUUCAGUUUCAUUCCAAAGACAAAAAAAAAAAAAAAAGGUGAUAACAUCAUGUUAUCAAAGUACAAGCCCACUGAUAUCACGAUGUUAUCAACUUCAGUUUCAUUCCAAAGACAAAAAAAAGGCGAUAACAUCAUGUUAUGAAGGACAAAUCCACUGAUAAAUUUAUGAUAUCAGCCUUAAAAUUAUGCUAUAAUUAAGAAAAAUUAUUAAUUUGCAAAAUGAAAAAAGUCUAUAUGUUUUCUAAAUAAAAUUACCUCUUCGGAACUGGAACUUGUUGUUUUUGGAGUAGUUUCUCUUUCAUUUUUGUGUUCUUCACCACUUUUUGAACCCUAUAUUUUGAAAAACUGGUUAAUUAAAUGCUAGAAUUGCAAAUAAACUGUUAAUUAAACACUUGAAUUGUAAAUAAAUUGUUAAUUAAACACCGACUUACAAUAAAAAUAUCUAAUAUAACAUGUUGUUCUUGUGAUUGUGAUGUUAGGGUUUCGCGCAUUAGAAUAUCGAAUUCAUCAGAUUUUUCCAAUUCUUCUUCACUAAUUUCAUCAGUAACAUCAAUUUCUCUUAUUAUUGACCUAAUUGCACCUUCUUCCAUGUGUUCUUUACACAAAUCUGUAUCUUGUACAAUUAAAUCCGUGCACUUUUCACCAUUUCUUUGAAAAUUGCAUGUUGAUGAUGAAGAUGAUGGUGGAUUUAGUUCUUUGACAACUAAUUUCUUCAUUUCAAAAUAUAUAUAUAUAUAUAUAUAUAUAUAUAUAUAUACUAGUUGUACCCGUGGCUUCGCCACGCUAGUGUCAACUAUUAUUUAAACUUUGGUAAUGAGAAUAAGAUAGUUCUAUUGACUCUAAAAUUUUAAUCAAAUAAUCAAAUUUAAAAGUUGAUUGUAGGAUGGAUUUGACUUGUUUAUGGAUGUUUUCCACACUUACCAGUGUUAGCAUUUGUUUCUACCAUUUUAUCACAUUCUCAAAUGCUAUAAUAGUUGCUCUUGAAUACUCUUUCUUUGGAAUUGUGGACAAUGAGAUGGAUGAGAAUCCCUUUGUUUACAGUUCAGUUAAAAAUUUUCAUAGUCAAGUGUAAUAUUUUAUUUUUUUUGUUAUAUAUGUGGGCAUCAAGACAACAAAAGUGAAAAUGUGUUCACUGAGGUUAAUUAAAUGCUUUGUGCUAAAAAUUUGCUAAAAAUCCAGUGAUGUUAUCAAAAUAUACUCUAACUAUUCUUUGAAAAACAGUUCAUCUAUGAGAUAAAUUGCACUACAAUUGAGGCACAAACGCACCUGCUUAUCAUUUCAAAAUGGCAUGUAAAACUUUAGUCAAUGAACGUACUACGCUCAAUUGUUUCUAAGUCGUCACCAUUGAGCUUCAUUUUGAUGAUGUUCAAGCAGAUAAGGAUCUAUCUUUAUUUUUAAAUUAUAUUAUUUUUAGCUUCUGUAAUAGAUCAGGGAACGUCGCAGCUCAUAUCUUGGCAGCACACUCAGACAAAAGCUCACAUCUUCCUUGCACCUUCUACGUUCCACCAAACUAGUUAGAUGACCAGUUAAAACUGAAUCUGUUAUUCUGUAACUCAGCAAACUUUGAUGCUGACCAAGUUUAUUUUUAAUCAUAAUGAUUAUUAAAAAAAAAAAAAAAAGAUUAAGCCAUUUGUUUGUAAGUUUGAAAAAUCAAUUGGAAACUCCAUUAAUUAUGCAUUUCUAUCUGCAAUUAAAUUUAUUUAACAUUUAAAAGGAAGAAUUAUACACAGAGAUACAAAUGUUAAUUGUAUUAUAAUAAAGUGAUCUUAAAAGUGGGAGUUAUAUAACUAAAAACCUGCAACCUAGCAACUAAAUUGUUCAAGUUUCCCAUAGAACAGUUCACAUUACAGUAUUGCAUGCACAGUAAAAAAAAAAGAAGUAAAAUUACUUAUUCCAACAACAUAGAAUUCAAGCUUCUAAUGCCAUGGUUUUUGUUUUGCCAAAUCUCUAUCAAAAUAUCUACUACAUACAAGAUAUUUAGUACCUACUACUGCUACUUUGGCUGCUCGGUUAGGCUAUAUUCUUGUUUUAUCUGCUGUUGUGAAAAUGGUUACCCUUCAUUUGUCUUAAGUGACACUCUGCAGAUGCCUUCCAAACUUCACUGUUCAGUUCUCUAUGAGAUCAACAUACACGUACUGCUAGGCUUGUUCUGAAUCAUCAUAAUACCAUUGCAGAAGAACACAGAGUUUUCUCCAGUUAAGUUAUAUUGUGGUGAUAGCUUACAAGUCUUCCCAGAUUAAUGGUUAGAGGAACCGGUUGGAGAUGGUCUAAAGAAUAAUUAUGCACUUAUGAGUUGCAAAGCAACUUCAAUAUGUGUACAACUAUUACCAUUGGUAAAGUCACAUUCUGAUUUAUUUCAACUAAAUGUUCCAUGUUGGUUUUCUUUUUUUUAGCUUGUAACAUUAGGAUAAAAUGACCAUAGUCUUCAUACUUGCAUUAAUUCCAUGACUAUUUUUUUAUUCUACCUUAGUCUCUAUCGAAAUGGCUUUAACCAUACUUGUAGCACAGAAUGUCAUCCAUACUUCUUUAUGUAACAGUCACAUACUACAAUUUUAUUUUAUUUUACUAAGAAUAUCAAAUGAAUAACUAAUCUAUCAUUACUGAUACAAUAUUUGAGAUAAUGGUGUCUACCUACAAUCUAAUGUACUCCAACUUUUCUUUCAUCGUCUCAUGUAUUUAUUAAGUUUCUGUUUGUUGGUUUAUCAGUCCACAUAGCCUAUAGGAUAUCUAUUAUUAAUGUUUACGUAGACUAUUGCGAUGUAUUUUAUUAAUGUCUACAUGCACUCUUGUGAUGUGUGUGUGUGGUGAUGUGUUUUGUUAAUGUGACCAAGAAAAUAAAAGAAAAAUGUGAAAAGUGCAAUGGAUGAAGAAUGAACAACACCAAAAAUGAGUAACAACAUUUUAAGAUAGAAAUACUUUAAUUAGCUAGCAAUUAUUGCAAGUAUGUCAUGAAGUGUGAAUUCCACUCACCUUGUUGACCACAAGGAACAGUCCAGUCACGUAACGCACAACACUUUGUAUCCUCUUGGCUCUGCAACAAAAUAAAGCUACUCACAAAAUUUUCAAAGUUGGAUCACCCAUAUAAAAAUUCACCUUGUGAAGAUAUUCUGUGCAGUGCCUUGUUGAUUGGAAAGAUCUCCCUGUCAUCCUUUUUAAGUAACAUCAAAUAAAACAAUAAUAAAGCUUUUAAGGUGAAGUAGUGUUACUUUGAAACCUGUUCUAAAAGAGAUUGUUUACCAAGCUCUUAAGGUGUUCUGUCAUCCUGUGGUUUCUUUGUAAAGCAGUGAUUUUGCAUUUGGGUUUUGUCUAUUAGUAGAAGAAAGAAAAGUCAAUAGUCAUCAUUGUCUAUCUGAAGCAAAUCAAACAACAAAUAUAUAACUCAAAUGAAUUGACAUUCCAAUAGAGAAAGGGAGUAUAGUAAACAAUAGCUUGUAUGUUAUAGCAAAUUAAUAUAGAUACAGUUAGAUAUGAUACCACUAUUAAAACAUUUUGAUGACUAUAUAUAAUCUCUCUUUGGAGUUGAAACCAAAAGAGGUGUGUUGGAACUUCUCAACCUGGUACUAUGCUGGCUUGUGCAACUGGUUAACCUGCAAAAACAAAGAAACAUCACAUAUACAAUUUGAUCGUCCUAUUUAAUUUUAUUUUUCUCUUGUCUUACUAUUUUCUCGCUUUUGAUAUAAAAAACUCACAUCUCAACCAAAAGCUUUGAAUGGUGACUAAUUCAAAUUAAAUUAAGAGAAAAAAAGUGCCCAAUGCAAACUACACAACUUAAAUGUAGUGAUGUGAUUCCAAAGACCAUUUCUAAGAAGUAAUAAGAAAUCCUACCAACAAAUUUGAUAAAAGAUUAUUUUUUUUGGGUCCUGUCAAUUAUAAAGAAGAAAGUCUUGGUUGUCAUAUUUGUUCAGAUGGUCUACUCGAAUUUGUUCCUACCAAAGAUCAUCUUAGCGAACAAUCUUAGUUUAAUAGUGUAUUGCUCUAUCAGUUGAACAAAACAGCAAGGCAUUUGCAUUUUUAGGUCCAUUGCUUCAAGAUCUAAUGUAUGUUUAAUUGAACCUAAAUGCCCAAUUACCAUAUUUAUAAGAUAUGUAGCAGUCUUCAUUUUGUAAAAAUACAACCCAUAUACUGAUUUUCAGAAUGCUGAAAAUCAAGCUCACUUAGAAGUGGAACAAAGUUCCUUUCAAGCAACUUCCAAGACACCCACCUAAAGCGUUGUGUACAAUUGAAAAGUCUAUUCUGUAUGCAGGGAAAUAUUCACAAAAAUCAGAAUCUCAAUAACUAUUAAAAUUCCAACUAAAUAACAUUAAAAAUUAGAAAUGGGAUCGUUUUUGCUAAUUGCACAAUAGAGAACAUUCACCACCAACUAAGAAGAAUUAUAGAUAAAAACCAAAACCAUCAGGAAAAUAGAAUCUCAUAAACCAAAAUUUAUUUAGCGUCAGUUAAUGUAAUCCUUUGAAAAUUUUAAGAAGUUUUUGUGGAGAGUUCACAGUUAGAUUGGUAGCACAUGGCGAGGGUCGUGUUCUAUUUUCUAAGGGAGCGGAAGAUUGUCUUUCUUACUUCCCAAGAGCAUAACCUAAAAGCACUACCAAAGUUCUUACAUCCCAACGUCUUGAUCGAAAUGAUCUCACCAACAAUCAUUUAUUAGGAUAUGCUCUUGUCAUUAGAGUUUAAAUUAAUCAUCUGUAUUAUUCUAUAGUCUUGGUUGCUAACAUGUCACAUUAGAAUGAAAUUAAUACUGGAAUAAAAGAAGUUAACAGAAGAACCAAAAUCUAACAGUAGGAAGAAAUCCAUGCACAUAUAAAGCGUGAGAAUGAGUUAACAGUAGAAUUUUGAAGGCUUUAAAAUUUUCCUUAAAUAUAUAUAUACUAAUAACUAUGCAAGCUUUGCAACUUAUUCAGGACUAUAUAAUCAAAGAGACGUUCCAUUACAAAAGGAAAUCAAACUCUAUAAACUUAUACUCAGCUUAACCUACUUGAAGAGUUGAGGAAAAGCUAACAUUUGAGAGAGCAGCAGUGAUGUAGUCAACAGUACAAAUCAAAGGACCACGAUAGUACCUCAAAACAUGUUGAUAGAAUGGUUGUUCAAACUACAGAAUUAAUUAAUUACUUGAAAAUACAGGUAAUUGAAGGAAAGACUUCUAACGUGACAUCAAUAACUAACAACUUGAAGAUGACUGAUGUUGUUUUGAUCGAAAUGUCAAAAUUUUUAUAAGAAAAUGAAGAUGCUGGAAGAAGGGCUUGAACCUUCGAUCUUGUGGUUUAAAACCCACACGCUCUAACCAACUGAGCUACACCAGCUAAUUAUUCACAUCAAAUACAAAUAUUUUCUGAAAAGACAUGACCUUGUGUUCUAAAUAAAACUAAGCUAGGAUUAGGCAGACCCCCACCUGUAUUCAUAAAAAUAUACUUUACAAUCUAAUGUAGACAAUGCCUAUCAUGUCAUCAUUUACAACGCUUACAUAGCAGUUCAUCAAAAGGAAGAAUUGAAUUAACAAAUUACAUGUCUCUAUCUCUCGACUACUUAUUGUUGCCAAAAGUAUGCAACAAAAGUAUGCAUCAUUUUAGUUUAUUACAUACACAUUUGUAUCAAAAUACUUGUAUCAAAAUAAUCACAUUUUAGUUCCUAUUGUCUAAACUUAGUCAUCUAAGGUGGGCAAUCCAUGAUAUUACCUCAACCCCUUUUUUAUGGAAUUUGAUAGUUACUGAAAACCAUAUUUACCUCGUCCCCCUUUUUAUAGAAUUUGAUAGUUACUGAAAACCAUAAUUACCUCAUAUCUGUGCUUACUAAUAAAACAAAAAGAAAACCACAUGGACUUGUUUAAUAACUGAGAAACGGGACAUAUCUUAUUUUUUGUGUACUUAACGAUAUUUGUAUUAUGACUGGCAAUAUCUUAUACCUCUUAUACACAUGGGUAUUAAUAGGAAAGAGAGAAACUGACAAUAUCAGAUGAUUAACAAAAUGGACAUAUGAUGUCAGCCAUAUAAGACCAUACUGAACUAUUCUCAAGUGACUGAGUGACUAAGAAAAUAUAAGCAAAAUUAAAACUACUAAAAUGAGUAGUCAGAAUAUAAAGCACAUACGUAUCAUCUUACGGGCUCAUUUAACAAAUUCGGAGAACGGUUUUGCAAUUCAUUAUGAUAAAUUGUGGCUUCACUAAAUUGAAAUUGGGAUGUACAUCAUAAUUCUAGGGCCUCUUAUAAGUUAUGUUAAAAAUAAUGUGAGAAAAUGAGAUAAUACCUCUUUUGCCCCACCAACAUUAUCAUUGGGAUUUUUAGUAUCCAAAUCACCUGCAACUCUAUCUUGUUUCUUGGAACCAUAUUAUUUAACUCACACUAUCACGAAGCAGUUCCUGAAACAAUUGGAUAAAUAACAAACAACAGCCUCGUCUUAGAUACAAUAACAUAAAAGAAUUUAACCCUGAAAAUCAAAAUGAAUAGAUCAACACCCAUGAAAUUAACAGAGAAAGGAUGUGUUUGAGAUAUGAAUGAAUAGAGGCCUAAUUUGAGAAACAAUCACUGCUGCAAUUGAAUUUAACACUGACAGCUAAACUUCAACACUAUACACUCUACAUAAAAGUGGCAUGCUUUUCAGAAAAGGAAUACAACAAAAUGAUGAUUACCCUAUAUAGUAGGCAGGACAUAGAAGCAUGAAUGAACAUAUUAAAAUGCGUGCUGUCUAGGCUGCCAUCCUUAGGAUGACAUCCAUCUUAACAGCCUAUCUCUUCUGUUAAAUGAUAUAAGAUCUGAUUGUUCCGAUUUAAUUUAAUGUAUAGUCUUGAUGACUAAAGGGCAAGUCUGUCAUUUCACGUUUUAUUUUUAUAUAUCAAAUAGAGAGAGAGAGAGAGAGAGAGAGAGAGAGAGAGAGAGAGAGAGAGAGAGAGCAUUGGAUGUUACCACAAUGGAAUCUCUGAUUACUACUUUUUUCCUCUCAAAAUUAAAGCUCAGGUCUUUUUAUCUUGAAAUCAUUUUUCCCAUUUACACCAAGUCACCAACAUUUGAAACAUAUUAUAAAAUCUUUAACCUUUAGAUGGGAUGGAAAUUUGCGAUGUCUGCAUCAUCAUAACAAUAGAUAUUAAAGUGGUUUAGAAUCUUAUUGGAAGAAACAGUUAUAGCUUAAAUUUUAUCCAAAAGCUACAACAUCCUAACAAUGGAAACUGCAUCGUUUUGAAGCGUUCAUAAUUUUCUACUUAAAUUUAUUUACAAUUCUUUCAAGGAUUCCUUCUUUUAAUUGACGAAACCACCAAGCUUUUUCAAUCUGCUAUUAGAUCAAUUCAUGAUACUAACUUCAUUUUUUUCGUGUUUAGUUUGAUAAAUACCCAAAACCCAUUUUUCUUACAACUACUUUGGUCUUCCCAGUUUACUUAAUUUGAGUUCAUGGAAAAUUAGAGAACAAUCAGGAGGAAAUGAACUUAAUGAGAAAGAGAAGAUAAUGUAAACCCUUUUUCUUUGGAGAAACUAUUCGUGAGAGAAAGUGAUUUAAAAGGUACAAUGACAUAGCUACCCUUUGUGUAUUAGCUUGUAAGCUUAACUUAAAUCCUAACCAUCAGAUCUUAUAUGAACUAAUGGAAGAGAUGGGCUGUCAAGAUGGAUGUCAUCCUAAUGCAGUCUAGGCAGCUCGAUUAAAAUGAAAAACAAUUCAGAUCAAUCAAAAUCUAUCAAAUUGUCGUGAGACAAAGCUAAAGGUCCAAAAAGUUCCAUGAAAUAUAUAGCAAGUUCUUAACAUAGUCUCUAGAAAUAUACUAAACACCAUUCUGUGUCUUAGGCAUGAAUUUGUACAAGAUCAUUAUAUUGCACAAUUGAGUAAAAUAUUUUCCCUAAGGUCCAAACAGUUCCAUGAAAUAUUGCAAAUAAGAAGAGCGAAACAAAUGAGGAUCCUAUGAAUUAUCCAAUAAUAUUUUUCCUAAUGACCAACACCAUUCAUUGAGCAUUCUAAUAAAAAAAAUGAAUGGUGUGCAAUAUAAAGUUUUAAGUCUCCUAAUCCUGAUUCCUGACAUAAUUGUAGGUUGCAAACUGAAUGAGUUGAUUGGACUGAAGCGUCUUACAGAGAAGCUUGCUAUUUAAAAUCUUGACAAUGUGAAGAGUGGUACAGACAAACUUAAAGGAACUUUAAAUAAUUCAAACUGGUCUGGAAUGAACAUCAAAUAGAAGGGGGCAGAGAAGAAACUCAUGUUGAUGUCCUAGAGACUCUGAAACCAAUUUAAUAUCUCAAAGGCUUGUCUAUAGAUGGCUAUAAGGCGACAGGUUUCCUGGAUGAUUUAUGACAGACGUACCACUGUUCACCAAUUUGCUGAAGGUCUUUUUUAUUAAAAUGGGUGGAAAAUGCGACCAUUUGGUGAACCCCAUUUGGUUUUUACAAUGUAUUUAUCAUUACGACUCUUACAAUACUAAUGCUUUGAUAAAGACUAAUUGCAAAGAUUAAGUUUUCAAAAACUAAUUACAAAAUGUUCGAAAAAAAAAAAAAAAAAAACCCGAGCUCUUAAAAUUAAAUAAGAUGAUAUUUAAUGCUCUAAUGCUCACACCGGAUAUGAAUCAAACUCUCUCACGACGUUUUUGGAAUAAAUUUAAAUGAAUAAGUAAAACUUACAUUGGCUCAAUUACUGAAUUUAACAUUGAUUGUGCUCAUUCCUUUUCUCUUCUUAUGCGUUGCCCUAGCUUUGCCUUACUUAUCUCUUCAGUUCCAUUUGAAAAUAUCGAUUCCAAUAACUUUGUUUGAGAAGUUGAAUCACUACCAUAUAGGUAACAUUAUAAGCAUCAUUAUUUUAUGUUAUAAAUAAUGAAAAUUAUUGUUCAUGAAAUUAAAUAAAAUUAAAAAAUUAUAUUAUCUAUGUGCAAUCCUUAUGCAUUGAAUUGAAAAAACUUACAUAGGUUCAAUUAUUGAAUUUAGCAUCGAUAGUACCAAGGUCCUUAACACCUUAAGUUGUGCUACAAUACCAGUAAUGAUGCUACUUACGGAUUUUAGCGUCUGCCUAUCUUAAUUGAAUAUCGAACCCAAUUCUUUGUAGAGUUUUUCUCUAGGGUUUGGACAACAUCCGCAGAAGAAACAAAUAAUUGCAUGUAAUUUUACUACCAUUGAUGAUACUAUUUAGUAGAUGCUACUACAUAUCUGCCUCUAGAGAGUUCGGAAAAUAAUUAUAGAUUCCAUAUUUUCAACUGGUCUUUGGGAUUUUGGUUUUAGGUUAAUUUUUUCUUCGAAUAUACUAUUUGAGCGUUUCUAACACCAAAGGUCCCCUUCACCAAUGUCUACUUCUUAAAUUUACAACAUGGAUAAAUUGAAUAAAUUAAAGUAAUUGUAAGUCACAAUUAGAUAUUAACAAUAGUGCUGGUAUGCUCAAUAGUCAAUAACCAAUACCAAAUAAUCAAAAUUUACAAAUUUUGUGAACAUAAAGAUCAUAGAUGGGAAAUUGAAAAAUUACCUUGUACUUGUGAUCGCUUUCAAAUCAAUUUAAAUUAAUCUUCAAAGUGGCAAUCUGCAAUCAUUAACAACACAUUUAAUGUUAAAUUGAACACAUAAUUUUAGUAAAAAAUAAACCAAUUUAAUAAAAAAUGAAAGUAAGGAGAAUAAUGUUGUUAUGGUGUAGUAAUAACACUGUACAUGUUUAGAAUCAAAAUGAUCUUAGGAAGUCAAUGAUCUAUUUUGGUAUCUGAUGAAGCAAAGAAAAUAUUUUCAUAUUGUUUCUCAAUUCCCACUAUCCAACACACAUAGUGACAUGUGAUAUAAACCACCAAAGCACAGAAAUCAGGAGAAAUUAAUUAAAGGUUAAAUUUCAGUUAGAGGUAAAAUUUAAAGGGUAAGCAAAGUAGCAAACCAAGUACACACUCCAAAAGUAUAAAAACUAAGAUCUAAUAUAGAUUUUGCUUGAAAAAUUCAAUAUGUUAUUAUUACAAAAAUUGGACUGUUUCUAAUUUCUCUUUAUGUCCAAGUGAAAUUCUGUUUCACCAAGACUUUCACUUCAAAGGCUAUUGUUAUUUUAGUUGAUGGUACCACUGAAAAGUGAAAACUUCAAAGCAUCAGAGCCUAUCAUUUCAGUCCAGGUUGCCUUCAUCUUCUUUCAAUUAGGUGAUCUUUUAAUAGUUUUUUGCUAUCAUUUGUAGUAAUAAUUGUUGACAAAGCAAUAUUUUCUUAUAAAAAAAAAACAAGAUUUUGUUAUCAGAGCCCACUCUAAUUCCUGACCCUGUGCCUGAUAACGCAACAUAAACACCAGCUGUGGAAGUGGCAUAUGGAAAUGGUUAGGUAGAUCAUCAGCCAUUAAGUAAUGGUGAAGAAACAGUCGUUGAAGUAAAGGUUGUGGAGGUACUUGUCCAAUCUGUUAAAAAUGAAGAUAACCCAGUUUCUCAGCCAGGUAAUUACAACAUCCUGAAUCUAUACUUUAAGAAUUAAUCUAGCUAAAUGAAAAUAGUUAUUUGAAUUAAUCUAGCUCACAAAUAUGUAAGCUAUACAAACAACAUCCUAGAACAACUAUCUAUGCACUGCGCAAUAACUUUAUUCUAUGGCUCGAGUUGGGGAACUAUGCAUUUUAUGGCAGGGUAGCUUCAGCAGCUCCGGAGGAGAACACAAACAAUUCAGAUACAAAUGACUAAAACGUCAACAAUGAGGAAAUCAAUAUCAGAAGAAAAGAUAUGAAAGGACAUUCAUGCUUUAACAAUUCUGAACAACGAGAUGUAUAUAUGAAUUAAGAGUUGGUAAUGGAACUAACAGGGAAUGCAUUGUCAGACUAUUUUAUUGAAGACACGAAAGAAGGUGAAGCGAUAACACAAUAAUUUCCUAAUUGUACCCUAGUGUCAAUCAGAAUUUCCUAGUGUCAUAACCCUUCAUUCAAAUGAAAUUUUUAGCAAGCCUAUAAACUAUGGAAGAGAUGUAUGACAUUGAUUUGCACGAAAGGAUAUAUAUCCAAAAUUAACAUGUGGAAGGGAAAGGAUGAACUCAUGAGCAUUCGCUGCUUUGGCUGCUUUUAUUACAUCAUCCUUAGAUACAUUCUCAUCUGGCAGCCCAUAUGCAAUAUUUUCUCCAACAGACGUCGAGAAUAAAACAGGCUCCUGCAUCAGCAUAUAUUGGAGGUAAUGAGAUACCAAGAUGUGUCAAGAAUUAAGGACGACUUUAAUCAGAAACAAUUGAGUGGCAUACGAAAACAUCAUAGGCCAACAGAAUGGUGUGUUAUCAAAAGCGUACUGUUCUAUACGUUGAUAUGUUUGCGGUUCAACUUAAUAACAUUACCUGAUUCACAAUGGAGACAACGCGAGCCCAUUCACUCUUAUCAAAUGUACGAACAUCCUCUCCAGACACUGUUAUCCGUCCUCUGGUAGGCUGCAAAUGUAAGAGACUAAGAAUACAUAUUCUUUCUCGACUCACCACCAUGGUAUGUAAAUUUGAAGCUACAGUAAAAAAAUGAAACCUCGUAGAAGCGUGCCAAUAGCUGAACUACUGUACAUUUUCCAGCACCGCUAGAACCAACAAGAGCAGUUAUUGUUCCACAUUUAAGUGUCAAGUCAAGACCAUUUAGGACCUCAACAUCAGGUCUCAAAGGAUAAGAAAAGUGAACAUCUGUUUAAACAGAAGAAAAAAAAUGUGCUACAGUUUAUAUAUUCUAAAUUUCGAAUACAGCAAAACAGAAACUUUAAGAAAUGUUAUUAUUUUACAUUUUGCGAAGUGAGAGAGCUAAACAAUCGUUCGGAUUAUUGGGAUGAGAUAUCCCAAAAAAAAAAAGCAAAAAACUGUCUAGCAAAAUAAAUGUUAGUGUAUCACUGUAAUCAUGUAAUACAACUUUGCAUGUUACGACUUUUGUGGAACGGAUCAAAGAUACCUUCGAGACAGAUGUCACCAGACCAAGCUACAGUACACCCAACUUUAGCUGAUUUCAAGGCAGACAUGAAAUGCUUAUUAGGAGCAAGCUUUUCCUCAAGGAACCCCUCAUUGUCGAACAACUUAAGAUUUUCAUCAGACGCCUCCCUUUUAUUGAGUUCCCUUUCUAAACCAUACGCAAGAGAACCAUCGAUAUCAGUCCCAGACAGAACAGAAUUUAUCCUUUCAAUAGCAGCAAGGUACCGCGAAGAUCACCAAACGUGUUCACUAACCCUUGUACCUGAAAAGAUUCUCAUAAUGUGAAAGACAGGAGAUGAAAAGCAGCAGAUUUAAUAAGCUUAAAGCAUAAAAUGGCUUACAGAAAAUGUCAAUGUGAAUGUGUAUCCAAUAAAAGCAGCCACGGUUCCAGCAGAUAGUUCACCCUGGAAAAAGAAUUGUACUUACAGUAAAUUUGUGUUAAAAAGAAAAUUUUACAACUACGCUCUUAAUGCACGUAGCUUCAAUAUUACAACAAUUAAGAAAUUUUGACUGGCGGUUGCAAUAUUUUCUUACCAAAAGAUGCAAGAACAAAAGAUAAAAAUUUCCAAUUUCCAUUUGAACAAAUGUAGAAGGAUGCCAGUGAAAAUGCUUACCGCUUUAACUUUGUUUCCGCCAAGACAGUAUAAAGUCAACAAAGAAACAUAUAUCACAAUUCUAGUCACAGCUUCAUUUGCAGAUUUGAAGGUUCCAAGCUUCAUUCCACUGGACUGGUAAGCAAGAAUCUGCCCAAUUUAACAAAUAAGUCAACCUAAGGGUUCAGAGUACUUCAGUACUAUAAAGUUAAAAGCUGAGAAAUUGCCCAAUUUCUCGAUAAUUGAAACAUUAGUGCUUUUGGUUCAAGUAUCAUAUUUCUGACAAGAAGGGAGCCUACCUACAGUUCUAUAUGAAGAGUCAACUUACCUGAUUGCCAAACAUUGACAUUUGACGCUUUUCACCACCAAAGGAUCUAACCUGGAAGCAGUAAGCAUAUAAUAUCUUAAUCCUCAAUAUAGAAGCCAAUAUAUUCUGAUGAAGAAUAUGAAUUAGGCUAGUCGGUCUAAAGACCCCAACGAAGCAGAGUAUUUCAUGAAACUUACUGUACGGAUAGCUGAAAAUGUUUCAGCCACACAAUCGGAUAUAGAGGCUUGGACCAUUCCAUGAGCUUUGAAGACAGGUAUAGUCGAGCGCUUGUAUAUGGCUUGUGAUUAUAAAACACAGUUAAUCAACAGUUAUUACACAAAAUUGACCAUAAGAUUAUGGACAGACAAGAAAAUCCUUAAUGUAGAUAAAGGCUUGUCGGAAGAACAUGAAAAGCAUGAUUUACCCAUAUAUCAACCUUUAUAUUGAUAAUUAGUGAAAAUAAAACAACCCUAUUGUCUUUAAAUGAUUUGAAGUUAAGAAUACUGCAUGUCUAAAUAUAUGAAGAUGAGCUCUUAACUCUCAAUCCAAUCAUAUCAAACCAUGUAAAAUCUCCAGGAGUAUGCAUUUCCACAGAAUCUUUUAGGAAAAGGAAGACAAAAAAUUAUAAGCAGGAUCCAUUAUAAUGAAACAACGAGGAUAUUCUCAUCAAUACUCAACCUAAGAGAAGCAAAUCACAAUAUAAUCAUAUUGAUACGUAAUUACGUGUAUGUAAGUUACCUGCAAAAAUUGACACAGAAAUUAUCAACAGUCCUAGAAUUGGUGCAAGCUGGGGAGACAGAAUAAACAGUAUGCAUGUUGUUCCCACAACCUGCAAGAAAAGUGAUUGAAUGUGAACUAUGCAGACCUGCACUCCAUUUGCUAAUACAGUAAUACCUCAUCAUUGUAGCAUUCUCUUCCACAUACAUAUAAUAUGGAAAUAGACUAAGGUAUAUUCUUGUAGUCUAUUCCAGAUUUGAAAUGAACACACACAUACAAGUAAAUUGAAACUUCAGGAAGUGCAUGUUGUAGUUCAACAAUUGUGCACAUGUAACUGUGGGUAACAUAUAGCUCACAUCUGUGCAGUGUAGAGUAGCUUGCCUCAGAAAGUGCCCUAAAACCACGAUCUCUUGAAAUGUUCUCGCUCACAACAUCUUUUAUAGAACCCAAAUCAGAUGUCAGCAAACCAGUCAAUUCACCAACCUAUUGAAAAAAUAUCGAAACGACACCAAAUCAAAUAGUUUUAUCACCCUUGCAAAAAAUAAAAGUGAGACAAAAAGAUAUACGUACUAUGUUCGCACCUUGUACCGGUCAAAAAAUUCAAUCUACGUAGGAUACAAAACAAAGGGUUACACUCCACCAAAUUAAGAUCAAUAUGACACUACUGAAAAGCAUUCUGAUAAGUCACUACUGAAAUGCCGGGUAAUGUUGAUAUAUUAAUAUAUAAACAAAAUAUAGAAAGUUAUAAGAUGAAAGGAUAGUUUAUGGUCUUAUACUCAGUGAAUUGUUUAUCAAUAAAGCAUGAGAUGUCAUUUUUUUACUAACUUAAGGAAGUUAUGCAUAAGCUUUCAAUUUCAGCAAAUGGUAGUCUCAGUUCUUCCUUGGGCCUUUCCCUUGAGUGACUUGACCAAGGUAAACGGUCUCUCCAUUCUUCAAAAUUUGCAUUUUGAGGAUUAUGAUAAGUAGUGAACAAUAUAAUAAAAUCUAAUAGAAAUGAUGACAACAUGAGUAUAGUUCAUCCAUACUAAUACAAAAACAUUAAUCAGCAAAGCUAUAUCAGGUUGAUUGUGGAAAUCUAUAUCCAGAUUCUGUCAUUAUUCAUCAAGUAACAUUAAAGUUCACAAAUUCUAAGUACUGUAUACAGAUUUUUCUUUACAAUAAUUGCUGACUUCGGAGUCUUUGCUAUGCAGAAGCUUUAAUUCUAGCCCCAGUGAGAAAAUUGUAGGAUUGGUUUUGAAAUUUCAUCAAAUGUGAAAACUGAAAAUUAUGAGUGACGGGCUAAAAAAGAAAUCUAGUAUGACAACAUGGAACUUGUCAGAGGCAGUUUGAAAUCAAUAAAAAAUAAUGGAAGAUUUAUAUUUGGGGAUCACAUCAACUUUCAUUACAAUAUUACAUACCCAAGAAAGAAUAAAUCUAACUCAAGGAAAGAAAGUAUAGCAGUACCUUUUGAAUUAGUAUCUGUUUGAAAACAAUAGCUCUUAACUUUGUCAUGACCUUCUCCCAUACGUUAGUCAGAUUUGUAACGAAAAUGACAGUGAAAAUUGGCUCCAAAGUAUACAAAACUGCAACCUUACUAAGCAAUUUCCAUAAAGGAUCGGGUCUUGUACCUAUGAUUACUUCAAAAAAUUGUCCUGCAAUAAAAAAAAUGUAGAACAUAAUAAACUAAUUUGCACCUUGUCAUCAAAUCACCAAUUUUAGUUCUCGUAUGUUGACAAUAUGCUAAAUAAAUCCUACAGUAACCUAAACCAGAAACAUGAAAUGUGUUUUAUACAAAAAAAACACUGACCUAAUUCUAUGCUAUUUCUUCAACGCAAACUAAAUAUUUGUGCAAAUACUUAUGAGAGCUUUUGAAAACAAAAUGUCCCAACUUCUUGAGCAGAUUACGAUAGGAAUGGAUGUUAAAUCAUAUAUUUAGCUCAUACAAAAUGAAAAUGCUAUACAUUCAACAGCAAAAUUCGAUUAUAUUAAAACAUAAAAAAUCACGCCGUUCUAUUUGACAUAAUUUAGUUAAUCGAGGCGCCAUACCAGACAGUAUGGGCAUGGUGAGAGUGGAAGCAGUACAACCAAUAAGAGUAGCAACUGAAACAGCAAGCUGUAACUUGUGCUUAAGCAAUAGACUGAAUACAAGACCCCAAGUAAUAGUACUUCGGGGAGGAGAUUGAGUUGUCUCAGUUGAGCUAAAUUCAUCAAUUUUGGGGUCGUUUUCACUAAUAUUUGGAUCAGAAUUCACAGGCGGGUCCUCAUAUUUGCUUAGGGAAAGAAUUUGCUUACAGGCAGAUGAAGAUGUUCUCUGCUGUCCUCCUAGGCUGCUUCAUGUUCAAGCUAAAUGAUCCAAACGAGGCUAUCAACUAUAGAACUAUGAUCAACCUUCACAUUGACGGGGGACUCCACCUUCGUGCAAUCCCACACACCCCAAUAGAUACUAAAUAUUUACUCAAUGUACAUUGAAGUUGAAAUGCCACAUGUACAAGUAAAACUGGGAGGUAAACGGUCCAGGUAACAUUGAGCAGUGGAUGUACGAAAAUAUUACCAGAUAUGUUUGGAAUUCUUGUGAUCUUUAAGUAAGCCUAGUACUAACUCUAGGAGAGAAACCACAACUAUCUAAAGGUGUACUAUGUUUUUAAGAAGCUUUUGAAAAUCAUAAUAUAGGCUAUGUAAGCAUGUAAUAGUUAAAGACCUAACCACAUCGAAAUUCACAGAGUUCUGGGAUACCUAACCUUAACUAUUUUCCAGCCCCUAAACCUUAAACCUGGAUAGCGAUUAUCUGUUAUAGCUUAAUUAUUAUUUACAAAAUAAAGAGAAUGAGGAAGUGGUAAAAGGAGAAGGAAUAGAGAGGUAUUUUCUUUUUAAACCAAAUAAUAUUUGUUUAAUUUUCACGAAUUAACUGUUGCAAUAAUCCUAUGCUAAUUAACUGUUGUAAGUUUAUGGGAUGUGUUGAAACUUAAAUUGAAUUCAAAAGUAUUCAACAAAUACUAAACAAAUAACAAUUCCCACAAUUGAGAAGUAGAAAAUACCUGAGAAAGAUGAUUGAUUGAGAGGGUUCGAUUCAGAGUUUUGGUGAAGACGAUUGAUAAGUAGUAGGGUAGCAAGGUGUAGAGAAGGGACGGGGAAGAAGAGAUUGAGGAAGAGUGAAGAAACACAGAAAUUUAAUAGAAAUUGUUGACCUUGAGAGAACUAAUUACAUCAAUUUUGUUAGAAUCGCUGGAGUUCAAUUAAUACAUUGAACUCCAGCGAUAAAUAAUUACAUCAGUUUAACUUUGUAGCUAACUAUUAUAGCAUUUGUAAUACAUCAAUUACAUUUUCAGGAGAAGAGAAGAGAAGAGAAGGAGGUUUCGUAUUGUUUAAAAAUUAAUUAAUGUUUAAUUAGGGUUUAAUUAGGGUUUAUUGUUUUAUCUAUCCACCGUUAGACAUAUAUCAACAUCCUACGGUCCAUAAUAUUUCUCAAAAUUGUUUUUUAACAGAUGUUUAAUCUCUGCCGUCCAUCUAAAAUCUAACGGUCUAAAAUAUCUCUCAAAAUUGUCUAUCCGUCAAAACUGUCUCCCCAACUUAUGUACCCUUUGUGCCUUAUAACUUAGAAGAUAUAUAUAUAUUAAAACUAAUUUAGGAAAAUCUAAUAUGGCUUGUAAUAAGGUUAUCCCUUGGGAUCAAAUUAGUUAUCCUGAACAAUGGGAUCAUCAAGGGAUUAUCCCUUCUCAACCAAUUAAUCGGAAUUUAGACCAAAUUGUCCAAACUCCUGAGGGAGAUAUUGAAGUCCGUUUUUCUUCCAAGAGAAUCUCUCGUCUAAAAUCUGUUAAGACUUUUUAUUCUCCAGAACCUUCUAGAGCCUCCACCUCUAGUGUUCCUGAUAAGAUCGAUGAUCAAUUUGAAAUUAGAGGAUUAAAAGAAUUCGAAAAUAAUAUUCCUCAUGGGCUUUAUACAAGAAAUUUUAUUCCCAAUCCUACCCCUUCUGAAAUGGACUUUUCUAUUAAUACUUUGGAAAUAUCCAACGACUUUAAAAUUUAUAGAAUAGCUAUUAAUAAUGAAUUUAAUAGCCCCAAAUUUAAACUUUUAAAAAAUGGUAUUUUAGUAAUUAUAAUCGUGGACAACAUGAAUUUCUAAAAGAAAGAUAUUAUAAACAUUUAGAAAUGACUAAAAGAAUUAUUCCUUUUGCACACUAUGUGUUGAAAUUUGAUACGAUCUUAGAAUCUUGUGUUAUAAAAUACUUUUAUAAAAGUUAGACUACUACUGAUGGAAGGUGUAUUAAGUCCAUUCAUCCUCCCACUCAGUCUCUUAAAUUAAUAAAUGAGUCUACUACUUUGGAGACAGUUGCUUAUGUCCAACCUUCCUCAGAAGAGACAGAAUUAAAUAAGGUUUUUAAACAGACUAAUUAUACUAAUUUAUGUUUACAAACCAUCGAAAAACAAUUAAUCCGUAUUGAAAAUUCAGUCAAUAAACCAAAAUCUAGUGAAGAAAUCUUCCCAGUUAAUAUUAAACCUCCUCCUGAAAUAAAGUUUAAUUUGGGAAAAAAUAAAUUAAGUCAAAAUGAUUUUAUAAAAGAACUUACUAAAAAGUUAAAAGGAAUAAAAAUAGGUGAAAACAAUAUUUCUGUUUUAUCUCAAGAUAAUAAUUUAUCUGAUCAUAAUAUGUCUGAUGAAAAUAUUGAAGAAUUUCAAAAUAUUUUACAUGAUAUGAAAGAAGUCAAUGAAAUAGACUUUAGUAGCUCUAAAAAUAAAGCAAAAAUCCCUCUUACACGGACUUAUUAUCCUAGACCUACUCCUAUGGAUGUUUUAAAUGAGGAAGACUAUAUUUCGAUACAGACUUCUUACAGUGCUAAAACUAUCUACGAGUGGAAUAUAGAUAGUUCAUCUAAAUAUUUAAUUUAUGUUAAUUUAUAUAGAAUGCUUAUGUUUGCUACUGUAUGUAUAAAUUCUAAUAAGCAAACAACAAAUUGUAUUAUAGCCGGAUUUACUGGCCAAUUAAAAGGUUGGUGGGAUAAUAUUCUAACAACCCAACAAAAAGAAGAAAUUUUUAGUUCUAUCAAAAUGGAACAUGACUAUGCGGGUCACCAAAUCCAUAGUGAGGAUGUAGUUUAUACCUUAAUCCAAACUAUAACUAAACAGUUUAUUGAUAACACUAUGUCUCAUCAAGAAAGAGGUAAAGAAUUACUUAUGAAUUUAAAAUGCCCAACGCUAACUCAUUUUCGUUGGUAUAAAGAUGUUUUUAUGGCCAAAAUUAAUAAUCGACAUGAUGGAAAUAAUGAAUUUUGGAAAGAAAAAUUCUUAUCUGGUUUACCAAGAUUAUUUUGCUGAAAAAGUCAAAAAUAGACUUAAAAAUAAACAUGGUGGUAUUCAUAUCCUUUAUGAUUCUUAUACUUAUGGAGAACUAAUUAGUGAAUGUACUAAUGAAGGAUUAGCUCUUUGUAAUGAUAUUCGUUUAAAAAAUCAACUUAAAACUCAGAAUUUAACUAGAAGAAAAGAAUUAGGACAAUUUUGUGAACAAUUUGGGUAUAAUAUGCCCAUUUCUAAACCUAGGGAUAAGAAUCUUAUAUCACAUAAGACUGUUUCUAAGAAACCUUUUCGUAGAAAAUCUUCUAGUCAAACUUAUAAAAGACCUGAUCAGGUCUUCUCGAAGAAAAAAUAUUAUUCUCGAAAACAAUAUCCUAAAAGGAAUUUUAAAGAUUUAAAACAUAUUACUUGCCAUAAAUGUGGUAAUACAGGACAUUACGCUAAUAAGUGUACCUCUAAGAAUGAUAUUAGAAAACAAAUUAAUGAAUUAAGCAUUGAUGAAAAUAUUAAAAAAUAAAUUAAUCAAAUAAUAGAUAACUAUGAAUCUUCUAGUAAUUAUUAUUCUGAUGAAUCUUCUGACCAUAUUAUGGAAAUAGAAGAAAUUACUGAUAGUGAUAGCAGCCCUAAUCAGUCUGACAAAGGAUGUUCUUCUCAUUGUAAGACUAUUACAAGGCUAUUAUUGAUAUGAAUGGACUAAAUAUUAAUGUCCUAAUUGAAAAUCAAAGUUUAAUUUUAGAUAUUAUUGAAAAAAUAUCUGAUCCUACUGAAAAAAGACAGGCUAUUGAGAAAUAUUUAGAUAAUAGUUCUAAUUAUUAUUCCAAAAUUAUAAAACCUUAUUCUUUGCAAGAGGUUUUUGAUAGAAUUGAAACAAACCCUAUAGUUAAAGAAACUACUGUUUUUUAUCUUAAAAGUGAGAUUAAUAAUCUUAAAUUAGAGAUUAAAAAUCUUCAUUGGAGAAUUUCCUUACUUGAAAAUAAAAACCAAGUCACUCAUAAUUCUUCAGAAACAGGAGAAGAUGUGGGGGAUUUAUUAUCUUUGAAUCAGAAUAUCAAUCAAAAGUGGUAUAUUAAUACCAAACUAGUUAUUAAUCAGGAAUUUACCUUCGAAACCAUUGCCUUAGUUGACAGUGGUUCUGAUCUUAAUUGCAUAAAAGAAGGACUUGUCCCUACUAAAUAUUUUGAGAAAAUUAUAUAUGCUUUGAACACUGCUAAUGGUUCUCCUGUGAAGAUUAAUUACAAAAUAUCAGACGUAUUAAUCUGUAGUGAUGGUAUUUGUAUUAAAACACCUUUUUUUUUAUCUAAUACCUUAUCCCAAAUGGUUAUCCUAGGAAAACCAUUUUUAAGCCUUAUUUGGCCAAUUGAACGGGUUGAUGAUGAUGGAAUUCAUACUACCCUUAUGGGCAAAAAAGUUAUUUUUGAAUUCACCAUCAAACCUAAUAAUAAUUAUAUCCAUCAAUUCAAAGAGAAAAUGAUUUUUGCAGAAAAAAAUCAAUAAAGAAUAAUUUAAUUCUUUUUCUACUAAUUAUGUAGAAAUGAUCCUCUGGUUCAAUGAAACUAUUAUUGGAAUGAAAUAAUCCAUAAUCCAUGGAUUAUUACUGCAUGACAGUGUCUUAUAGACCAUAUCUCGUAUGUCUUAUAGACAGUGGUUCUUAAUUACUGCAUGACAAUGUCUUAUAAAUAGUGGUUCUUAUCCAAAUUUGAGAUAUCUACGACCAUGGAGAAAUUCUCCAACAGCCCUUUUAAGGGCUUCUUAUGAAUUAUUCAAUUCUUAAUACAAAAGAAUUUAGAUUGACUUAUAGUCAAAAUACAGAAAUAUCCAAAUUUAUGGAUAUUGUGAUAAGCUUUUUAUAAAGCACAACAAUUACUUUGUUUAUCAUUAAUCAAUUCAAAGGAAUUGGCCUUAAGAUAAACAAUUACUUCUAAUAGAAGUUAUAAAAUAAAUUUAACAUAGAGAAAUUCUCUUCAAAUAAGAUGCUUUUAUCCAACAAGAAAAUAUUCUUGUCAAGAUCCUGAUCCCACUGAGGGGCACCAUAUGACUCACAUGGUUUAAUAAAUCAUUACUAUUUACAAGUAUUGUCAUAAUACUUUUCCUUGUAUAUUUACAUGAACGAUUACUCAAGGUCAGAAAUCUGGUCCCACUACGGGCCAUGACAAGGGUAAAGGGAAAAAAUUUCCUAUCGAACCCGAAUUGGGAGUAUUUUCUACUGUCUUAUCAGACAGAAAAAGAAAAAUCAGUGAAGUCUCAUUAGACUGGGAGGGAACCAAAUUAUUCAUAAAAAAUUCAAAUGAAUUACUUAUUAUCUUAACUCCGGAAGAUGAAAAAUGGAUAAAGAAGCCCAUCUUUCUUGGAGCACGGAAUUUUGGUCAAGGGACUAAUAGUCCAUUCCAAAUAUAUAAUCGUAGAAAUUUCUAUGAAGUUAUUUUGACUGAGACUAAUUCAGUCUCUUUUGAUCAUUCUCAGGGAAAUAUCCCUGGUCAACCAUCUUUGGCUUAUAAUAAAGCUUUUAUCCACCAGAUAAUUACAUCUGUGGAAUGGAGAGAUCCUCUUACCACUAGAAACCUAAUAGGUCCUUUUAAUCAAGCUUACAGUUUUUCUACUCAAUCCUAUAUUAUUGGGACUAUGUAGACGCUUGGACUUAUGUCUUUUUCUACCAAAAUCCUCACCAGAAACACUUUUGGUUCUUCUAUUUUAACCAUGAUUUCGAAGAACACAAAAACACAAUUCCCAACUGGUUCUAUAACUGGUGGUUUAAAUUUAAUCCUGAUCUGGACUUUAUCGCAACAGAAUUAACCAUCAUAAAUUAUAAUUUUAGAAGAAAUUCUUCUAAUACGAUAGAAUUGCAAGCCCAUCAUUCUCCUUUUUCUUGGAGAAUUAUUUAGCCCAAUUUUGGUAACUUAACCAUUUCUACAAUACGACUCCAGCAUUUUCCUAAACCACCCAAGUAUCCCCUCAUUUUGGCUUAUAGCCUUUCUUUGGAUCUUAUAAAUCUUCACUCAAUAAUCUCCUUAUAAACAAAAUCCUUUCCAUUAUCUAAUAAUGACAAGGAUUUGGAUUAUGUUCUUACAAUCCAACCUUAUCAGGAUCAACUAUCGGAUAACCUGUAUCGACAGAUCCCGCCCACUCAAUAGGGUCUAAAAUCACUCGAUGCUCACAAUUUGGCCAAAGGGGCCCACUGAUUAUCCCCUGUCAACAAUUUGGGGUUCAAAUCUAGUCCGUAUUAUGCAAUCCUUGUAUCAGCUCGUGACAAACAAUAUGGGGUCUACACACCAGCUUAAAUCAGCCAUCAAUGGGGCCCACUGCUCACAUAAUACCCAAUGGGGCCCACUGCUCACAUAAUGCCCAAUGGGGCCCACUGCUCACAUAAUACCCAAUGGGGCCCACUGUUCACAAGGUGCUCAAUGGGUCCACCACUCAUAUAAUGCUCAAUGGCGCCCACUUUAUUCCUUUUUCUCGCCUACAUAUACAGGCUUGGGUUCAUUGAGAAGGGCAAGCCUUCGCCAGCCUUCAAACGAAACAUUCUUCUCUCUUCUCUUCUCUUUUGUAAUAUUUUCUCUUCUUGUAAAUCUUUUAGUUUUUCAAUCUUUUGGUUUUUAGUUCUUACCUGAAGCUUUCUUCAGGGGGUGUGUAACCAUAGGUGAAAAAAUCGAAUUUGCCGCCCGAAUAUUCACGAAAUAUUCCGUUUUUUGGCUAUUCGGAUCGGUACGGCAUACGACAUAUAAACGAAAUUUAAAACACCCCAUGCCGUUCGGAAUUUAUCGGAUAUUCGCGAAAUAUUCGGCAAAAAACGAAAUUUACGAAAUUUACGACAUUUUCGAUUACGAAAUUAACACAUUUAUUUUUAAUUCCCCCUGAACUAGAAUUUUCGAUGAGAUUAUCAAAAAAAGGUGCGAAAGGCACUAGACGUUUGGAAACUUUCGCGACGAACUUCAUGGCCCUCUCAAUUGAUAUAAUAUAAAGAAAGUUAAAUUUCAUCGAUCAUUUUCCCGCUCAAUUGAAAGUAACAAUUAAUACUUCUAAGGUUAUUGCAAGUUAGAAUGUAGGAAGGAAUGCAUGUGUCAUAAGAUUAUUGUAGAGCAAUAUAUCAGAAAAGAAACGAAAAAAAAAAGCACGCCCAUGCCAAAGUGAAGUCCUCUCUCACUUUUAUGAAGUUUUCAUUCACUUGUUGUCUGUUUGUAUCUAAGGUUUGUUUUUGUGUGGUAAAUAAUUGGUAUCGAAUUGGUUUUUCAUACAUAAUUGGUUUGCUUUUGUGUAGGACCAGUGGGCCUUGCAAGUUACCUUUUUGUCUCCCCACAUUAAUAAUUCUUCUGAACAAUAAUUGGUCUUUGCAUACACAUCAUUGUUUUUCAUCUAUAAAUGUUGUGAUUCACUAAGAGAGCGCACCUCAGAAGCGAUUCAUUUUACGGGGGAGUCUCAAUUUCUUUUUGCCACCCAAGAUGAAGACCAUGCUGCAUGGCAACAACCAAGAGAAGGAAAACGACCUCGACAGAAAAGACCGCAUCCUAGAACGGAAACAAAAUCAUCUAGGGUAUCUUCCCAAGGUUCAUGGAACAUUCCUGACCAGUUUUCUUCCCAAGGUUCGUGGAACAUCCCUUAUUCUCAAAGCAACAUCCAACCUACCUAUGUUUACCCUCAUUUUUCUUAUAGUAAUAUGGGAACCUCCCAAAGUGAUGAUUCCAGUGUACCAUCCUACCAAACCCAACCAGAUUUCAGUGGUUCUUGGUUUCCUAAUAUAGGGAGUUGGUUGGCCCCAAUGACAAGUGGGUCGGACGUGCAGUCAGCCGAUACAUUAAUGCCGGUUCAACAAUACUCAAGAUUUCCUAUCUUUGAAUCAUUUGCUCCGUAUUGUAUGGAUCAAGAUGCAUAUGAUAUGCAUAUUGACCAAUUCAGGUUGUACGAGCAAAUAAUGUCAUGGGAAUAUUACUGUACUAAGUUCAUCCCCACACGUAUGCGACUCGAAGCUCAUCGGUUUGACAUGGGGCGUCUAUCAUUCUGGGGUUAACAUGUCUUUUACUUUGAUUAUUAAAAUAAAACUAUGGGUUGAGUUGUAAUGAGGUUGUUUGUGUUUAGUUCUUGUAUUAGAAACAUAAAAAAGUUCUAUGAAUAUCCCCCGAUAUUUACGAUUUUUUCACUUAUGAGUAAAACUAUCUUGUGUAAUAGUUCCGCCUUAGCUUCCUUGUAUGAUUUGCCGUGUGUUUAAUUUGUAAUGUAUGUUUUUCUUUUAAUUAUAAGUUUAUAUAUUGAAAUGAGAAGAAAAACACGAAAAUGCAGAAAACCUCCCAAUUUUCCGAAUUUUUCGCGAAUAUUCGCGAAUAUCCGCGAAAUCUUCCGAAAAAUUGGAAUUUACCAAAACUCCCAUAUCCGACAUGGGAGGUCAGAUAUUCGCGGAAUAUAUCGUUUUUUGGGAGGUCGGAUAUCCGCGUUUAAACGACAUUUUCACCUAUGUGUGUAACUACUUGUUGUACAAUUAGUGCAACUUUUACGUGAACAAAGCUUUCUUCUGGGGUGUGUAACUACUACUUGGUUGUACAAUUAGUACAACUUUUAUGUAAAUAAAGCUUUCUUCUGUAAGUUUAUGAUAUAAAUCUUCCGCUUCUUUUCUGUUCUUUUCCUGGAUUAAAAUUGGUAUCAUAUAUAUAUAUAUAAAGAGAGAGAGAGAGAGAGAGUGAGAGAGAUCAGUUUCACGAAGAUUGGCGAGGAGAUAUAAAGAGAUGUGGUUUUAAUUUUUUUUUUUUUUUAUUUAUUUACAAUGGUAGGAGAGAGAGGCGAUUUUAGAUUUUUUUUUUCCAGUUAUAAAGGGUAUUUUAGAUAUUUAGGUCGGACAGAUUAUUUGGUUAGCCCCUGUCCUAGUGUCCUGCAUACUAAUUUGAAAAUAAGUUCUUCUCCUGGAGCCCAAUUCUCUGUUCCCCAAAGUGGGCUUGUUUGGGAAAAACACGGGCAAACAUUUGCUUGUCGGAGAAAUUACCCUUUUCUUUUCCAUCUAUCUCCUUCCUUUUACAAAACUUAAAAGUUUCAAACAGACCCUUAUUCUCUCUCUCUGUGUGAAGUCUGAAAUAACUAAUCAGGUCAAUACUUGUUCUUCUUCUUCUUCUUCUGAGCUCUGCUUUUCUGUGGAGCGGUUUCCUUCCUCUUGACCGAAAAUGGAACCAGUGGCAGAAAAACUCAAAGGGUUCUUCCAAUCUACUCAAGAUUUCACCAUGGGUUUGUUUCAAAAGCGUGACAAAUCAUCAUCGCCUCGUUGUAAUCCGGUACCUCUUUUGUCUUUUCUUUCCCUUUUAAUUUCCAUUUCUUGUCUUCUUGAUUGAUUGUUAAUCUUUUUUUUUACAAUUUUGUUUAAUUGUGAAAAUGAAAAUAAAAUCUAUUGAGAGAAGUUUAAAAAGUCAUUAUUGAUUGUUUCACUGGAGCACUCUUCCAUUAGAAUGUUGUUAAUUAUGUAUUGAUAUAAUGAUUGCAGUCCAUGACGUCUAAACGAGAAAAUAUAUAUAUGUGGAAUUGUGGAAGGAAGGUUAACUAAUAACAAACUUGUGCUCAAGUUUGUUAUAAUCUAGUAAAGCAAUUGGAAUGAGCUUCACAAUUGUUUUUUUUUUUUUUUUUUUAAAAAGACUAGUCAUCAGUCAAGUUAGUUCAUUAGGAAAAUAUUCCAUUGGUGUUUGAUUUCAUUGAUCCAGGCUUGUUAAUUGUUAUGUUGACAUGUGUAUUAGUCCCAUAGGUAGCAACAAGCUGUAUGAUGGAGCUUUACAACUUUUUCCAUUAUAUUCUUUUCAGAUUGAGAUUUUGAAACGAUUGCAACGAGAAGCAUUUUCAGAUAUUAUGAAACUAAGGGACAGACAGGAAAAGGUAGAGCGAAUGCUUCUAUUCCACAAAUCUACCAAGGGAAGUCCAUUCCAGGAACUUACCACCCAUGUACAGGGAAUGGUAGAUGUGGCAGGAGCAUUACUCUUUGUGGACGAAAUCGAUCAACAAAGCUGUGAUACAGCAGGAAUGAGGACAGGAAUCAAUUCAAAGUUCAUAUUUGAAACAAAUAUUAGACAAAACGAUUCUCUUGUAGCAGAGUUUGUAGCAUGUCCAAAUGCCCAGGGCCCAUCUGAUGAAUAUUUUGGGAGCCCACUAUCGCUGACAAAAGUGAUGUACUCUGCAAAUGUUAAGGACUGGAUUUCUGCUGUUGUAGUUCCAUGGGGUGCUCGAUGUAGAGAUGCAGUGAUUACUUCAAAUCCCUCGCAGCAGGUAUGACCUGCUUAUAUUUUUUUGGGUGAGCAUCCAUGUUUUUAUUUUUAUUUUCUCUGUGUGGUGAUUGAUGUAAAAAUCCAUUCGUUGUGAUUGAGUGCCACCAAUGCUAUGCAUAGAUGACCCAAACCAUAGUUAAAAUAUAAGAAGUUCUUGCCAAAAGUACUGAACCUGUUUUGCUGAUCCCCAAGUAUCUGGGGAAAUUUCAUAUUCUCUUGAUUAUCAUCAUGAUACACUUUAUUUAUAAGGCAUAAGGAUAGUCAGAUUGUCUUCUUGGCUAUGAUCUCUUCUUGUUUGUACACACUUAAGGUGAAUGAACUGAAACAACGAACAAAACUCAGUUAAUAGUAGAGAUGCUCUAGUAAACUGUAAAUCAUACGAUCAUAUUAAUUAUUGUUUACUUAUCUUUUUUUGAUAACUAAUUGUGCUUAUGUUGUCAGGAAAGAAGCCUGACUGACUUUUCUUCCUUUGGGCCACCAAUGUUGAACGAAUGUCAUGGCUCUGCUGUUGGUUUAAUGGUGAAAAGGACAAACAUUGCUGCUUCUUUAGCUGGACUUGUUUCUGAAAAAAGACUGGAGCUUGAUUCCGAAAUCACACAGCUUGGUCCCAUUCAAACCAGGAAUUGCUUCAGCACAUUUGGGCAAGUUAUAUACCAGCUAUCUAAGGGAACAACACUGACUCUAUUAGGGAUUCACAAAAGACUGAUCAAACCAUCUCAAUGUUCAAGCUUGCGCAAAUUUACCAUACCUUUAGGAAGUUUAAAACGCCGUGAGGCUGUUGAUGCACCUAUAUUACCCAUCGCAUGGAAUACAGAGGGCAGUGGGUCAAUUGCUUUAAUACUAGAGUCUGAACUUGAUGACAGUACUAGGGUUGGAGGUUGGGUAGAGAUGCAGAAUUCCAAUUCUAGGUGUUUGCAGUGGGCUGUUAGCAUGUCUGAUACACCUGAAGAUGAGCUAGGAUGGGGUUUGAGCUUGGGUGGGAUCACACAAGGACCAUCCAGUUGGGAUCAUUUCCAGGCAGAAGCCUUCCUAAAGUAUAAUAUGGGUAAAAGAUGUAGCUUGCAGCCUGGUAUUGUUUAUGUGAUGGAUGGUACAAGACGUUUCCCUGCCUUAAUGUUUCGGUCAAGUUGGUCUCUGUAAUCAGGUUUCACAUCAUUAAAAGAUUAUUAAGAAAAUUAUGAUAUUUUUGGAUUUUCCGUUCAAAGGUUAGUAUUAACUUUUUGUUUUAGGUGUAAUCAGAUGGGGUUACCCAGAAUUUGUACUUUUAUUAAACUAAUCGUUAAUGCAAGCGAGCAAAUUCAUUAAGAUCAACAAUCUUUGGCUUAUCUAGUAGAUAUUCUGCUUGAAGUUUUAUAGGAUUAGUUUCCCAUUAUGUCAUUGAUGUUUAUUCUUUUCUUUUGGAUUGGCUAAUUAAAUUUACCUAGAGGAUUGUCCAUUUGGCUUUUUUUUUUUUAUCAUGAGUCAUGGCUUCAGCUGAAAAGGACAAAUAUGUCCUAACUUCACCUGAAGAUGGAAAGGAAGAGAAGACAAAGAAGACAGGCAAGAUGGAAAGGAAGAGAAGACAAAGAAGACAGACGGCCUUUUUCUCUCACUCUGAAUUUAAAAAAAUAAACGAACCAAAAAGUAGAUAAAAACAAAGGUGGUAAUUAUUUCUGGAAAUUAUUUCUUGAUUUUUUGGCAGUAAAUCAAGUGGUUAUCGAAAACCUCAAAGUGCGCUGGUAAGCUAAGCAUCAUCACCACUUUAAUUUACAAUUAUAGAUUUUUUUUUUUUUUGAUGCAAUGUUUUGAUUCUUUUUGAGCCAUGGGUAUUAGUUUUUUCCAUUUAUUGUUGAUUUUACAUGAUUCUUUUGAAGUUAGACCAAUAUUAACGUGUUCGUAUUGUUGAAUCUCAUUGGGAUGUUUUACUUGCUUUUUAUUCUUAAUUUUUGGGUUUAACUUUUAACCCUUUUGUGUUAUACUCAUGUGGUGUGUUUGUGUAAGUUGACUGUUUUUCUUCCUAGCUUAUUGGGUCCUAAAAUUUGUGAAUAUAUAUGUGAAAUUUAAAAUUUCUUAUGAGUAAAAUUGUCUUUUUGGAUUAAUACAAAAUACAUUUUCUUUUCUCAGGAUUAAAUUCUGUCCUCUUUUCAUAUACCGGCAAAUCUGUGAGCAUCAAGGCAUAUAUAUGAUUUGCACCCACAAAUGUUUUGAUACGAAAAACAUAUAUUAUAUAUGAAUAUCAUAUAUGUAGUUAGGCUGUUUGGGUCCUAAAUUUUGGUUAUCCGAAAACUGUCACUUGUGAUCAAAAUUAGACCAACCUUGUCAAUUUUUCAUAGAUGGGUCGUUGUGAGGCACAGGGAAAGUCUUGUUUUUUAUAGUUACCAUGAUGUCGCUCGUAUGAUAUCAUUUGGUUUGGCCUUUGAUAUCAAGGAAUUCUUGAUGAUCUAAUGCAGCUGUAUUAUAUUGUGAUGUUUGUUCCGAUACACUCUGAUGGUUCUAUAAUUUAAAGUUAUUGUAAUAAUGUUUACACUUUACACUAUCUUGUGAAGAGCUGUAGACCAGAAUUCUCUUUCAUUCUAAGAGACUGCUUCAGUCAGCUUCAAUUUUAAUUAACGUAUUCUGAAGCCCAUAUGGAGUAAUUGUCUGUCGUUGUCGUAGUUCACUUGAUUGUAUUAGCUCUGGUUUGUGUAUUUUCAUCUUAAUGAACAUAUUGGUUGCGUUGACAUUUGAAAGGGAAUUUGGGGCAGGUUCAAAUGAAAGUUUUGCCUCCAAAUGAAGAAGUUGUUGGGAUUACUGCCACAUGAGCUGCUGCCCAUGGGAUUGCAGUGGCGUUAGAGUUCAAACCUGUUGAGCAUCCAUCUGAACCUAUUGACAAUGAUCCAGUGGCAGAGAAACUCGAAGGUUUGGUCCAAUCCAUCUCCCCUUGUUGUAAUACAGUAUCAAUUUUGUUCCUUAUCAUUGAUAAGACUUGUUGAUUGUUAGGAUUCCAUCAAUGGUAACUCUAAGAAACGAAUUUCCAAAAUUUUGAUUGUUGCCUUAAUAGACACACACAGAGCUUUAUUUUAUUUUGUUUUGUUUUUGUCAAAAUAAAGAUAAAAUCUAUAUCUAUUUUAUAUAGAAUGAUUGAGGUACAUAUAUAAUAUAGUUAAUGUCAUAUGUAGUAACGGUAAAACCCAAUAAUCCUUACAUAAAAGCGUUAAAAUCUUGACGGGUUAUAAGGAUUUUACUGGUAUAAUUUAUGCUGGAGCAAUCUUUGUCUAUUUCUAGAGUUUGGAUUUUUGAAACAUGAAUCACAUGAGUUUGCCAAUAUGAGAGAAGUUUAGAAAGACAUUGAUGAUUGGAUCCACUGGAGCAGUCUUCCACUGACUUUUAAUCCAUUUCAAUUGUUAUCACAGUUGUCGAUAUUCGUCACCCAAAGUUCAUUUGCUUCAUGGAGUAAUCCAGGAAGUAAUUAGCCAUUUAUAUAAUGAUCGCAGUCUAAGACGACAUAUAUGGACCUAUGGUGUCGUCGAAGGUUAAUGAGACCAGUAGAGAAGUAUAAUAAUUCAUACUAGAAAACGAAUUACAGACUUGUGCUUAAGUUUAACACUCAUCCACUUUUCAGAUAAUUUUCCAUGUUAUUUGUCGGUCUUGGUAAACUUAAACUUAUUAGCCUGUUAGAGGAACACCUAUGUUAUUCAUUGUGACACUUCUUUUAUGACAUCAUCCGCCAAUCCAAAUGGUCUUAUUAGCCUGUUAGAGGAACACCUAUGUUAUUCAUUGUGACACUUCUUUUAUGACAUCAUCCGCCAAUCCAAAUGGUCCCAAUUUAUACUCUAGUUCUGUUCGUAAAUGAACUGGGAACUAGGCAGGUAUGAGUAACCUUCACACUCAUUUAAAGGCUUGAGGCAAAAAGUACUAUGAUGUAUGAACAUCUCAAUUCAUGUCAUUCAAGGUAAAAGCUAACAUCCAUAAAUACACAGAUUUAUGCUAGUAUAGGUUUUGGAGUGAGCUUGACAACAUUUGUGCCAACAGACCAGUCAAGUUCAUUUCUUAGGAAAGUGAGCCAUUUGUGCGUGAUAUUGUUGCUCCGGUUGUUAUGUUGACAUGUUGCUGGUUCCUAGGUAGCAACAUGCUGUAUGAUGGAGCUUUUCAACUCUUCCCCAGUAUAUUAUUUUCAGAUUGUGAUCUUAAAAUGAUUGCAACUAGAAGCAUAUUCAGCUAUUACAAAUAGGUGGAGCGAAUGCUUCUAUUCCACAAAUCUUUCAAGGGAAGCCCAUUCCAGGAACGUAGUACCCAUGUAUAGGGAACGGUAAAUGUGGCAGGAGCUCUACUGGAUGAGAUUGAUCAACAGAGCUGUGAUACUGCAAGAAUGAGGACAGGUAUUAAUUCCAAGUUCACUUCUGAAACAAAUAUUUGACAAAAAUGAUUUUCUUGUAGCAGAGCUUGUAGCACGUUCGAGUGCCCAGGGUCUAUCUGAUCAAUAUUUUAGGAGCCCACUAUCACUUACAAAAGUGAUGUACUCCGCAACUGUUGGGGACUGGAUUUCUGCUGUUGUGCUUCCAUGGGGUGUUCGGUCUGAUGAGUGAUGAUGUUGCGAUUGCUUCAAAUCCCUUGCAGCAGGUAUUACCUGCUCCAUUGUUUUGGGUGGGCGUUUUGUGUUUUUGUUUUUCUGCCGAAGUAUGUGGUGAGUGAUAAAAACUUACAUAUGAUGUGAUCGAGUGCCACUGAUUUGCUGAUCCCCAAGUAUCUUAGAAAUUCUUAUUCUUUUAUUGUCUUAAAAAUGCACUCUACUGAUAAGGAAUACAGAUAAUCAGGUUGUCUUCUGGGCGAAGAUCUUCUUUGGACACAUAAGCUGGAUGUAUUGAAACAACGAACAAUAGCACUCCACAUUGAUAAUAGAGAUGUGCUACUAUUGGAACUUAAUACGAGGGCAGUAAACUGUAAAUAUAUGCUUUUCAGUGAUCAUGUAAUCUUAUGUAUUUAUGUAAUCAUAUCAAUUAUUGUAUUCUUCUUGAUCAACUAAUUGUGCUUAUGUUGUCAGGAAAGUAGCCUGACUGACUUUUCCUCGUCCGGGCCACCAUUUUUGGACGAAGUCAUGGCUCUGCUGUUGGUGUAAUAGUGAAAAGGAAAACCAUUGCUGCUUCUCUAGCUGGGCUUGUUUCUGAAAAAAGACUGGAGCAUAAUUCUGGAAUCACGCAAAUUGGAUCCUUUGAAACCAAGAACUGCUUCAUCCCAUUUGGGCAAGUUAUCUACCAGCUAUCCACGAGAACAACAUCGACUCUCUUAGGACUUCACAAAGGACUGACCAAACCAUCUCAAUGCUCAAACUUAUGCAAAUUUUCCAUGCGUUUAGGAAGUUUAAAGCUUAAACGCAGUUGGGUUCUUGAUGUGUCUGUGUACGCACCUAUAUCACCCAUCACAAGGAACAGCAUGGACUGUGGCUCCAUUGCUAUAAAACUGGAGUCUGAAAUUGAUGACAGUACUAGGCUUGGAGGUUGGGUCGAGACGCAGAAUUCCAAUUCCUCGUUGUUUGCAGUUGGCAGUUAUCAUGUCUGAUACACUUGAAAAUGAGCUAGGAUGUGGGGUUGAGCUUGGGUGGAGUAACACAAGGACCAUCCAGUUGGGAUCAUUUCCAGGCAGAAGCUUUCGGGUCAGAGGCAUGGUACAAGACUUUGCUUCUGUCAAGUUUGUCUUUGUGAUCAUAUUUCAACAAUCUUGAAUAUGUUUCAUUUGAUAGGUCUGUUUUAACUUUCCCUUUAUGUGUAAACUGAAAGGGGUUAACCCUUAAUUUGUACUUUUAUUAGACUAAUGACUAAUGCUAGCAACAAGCAUAUUAGAUUGAGAUGAGAUCAACAAGUUUUGGUUCAUUUAGUUGAUGCCACUGUAUGAAGUUAUCAAGAAUGAGUUUUCAUUUUUUUUUACUUACCCUAUUGUUUUUAGGGCAUUUUGGCUAAAUUAAAUGUACCCAAACUUUGGGACAUUGAAAUAUCUUAUCCUGACAACAAAAUGGGUCCACAGAGAGAGCACCUCAAAACUCAGUAACCCACUUGAAUUCUAGACCUCUUGAUAUGCAGUUGGAGUGGUCCAGACUCCAUAGGGCACCUUGAAAACAUAUCAAACCACAGUAAGUAAAGUAAAGGGAGAUGCAUGAGACAUUGAGACCUGAUGAAAGAAUCCAAAACGCAACCUAUUAUGUGAAGCAACCUUUUUUAUCAUUAGCGAAAAGUACCAAUAUGUCCUUACUCUACCACCUGAAGUUGAAAAAAGUUCAUACUGUUAUUACUAUUUAACAUAAAACUCAGCUAAUAAGCACCAGAAGAAGAGAAGAAAAAGAAGACAGAAGAACUCUAGUCUCUUACUCUGAAUCUGAAAAACAAUUAAACAAACUAAAAAGAAAGAAAGAUCAAAAUGGUGGGAAUUUUUUCUCGAUUUUCUGGAAGUAAAUCAACUGGUCAUCGAAGAGCUCAAAGUGCAGUGGUAAGCUAAUUAAGAAUCAUUACUACCCCUUUUUCAUCACUUUGAUUUCAUCUUCUUGAUUGCUUUUUGAGUCAUGGGUGUUCAAUUUUUUGCUUUUCUAGUUGAUUUUACAUGACCCCUUUGAAUUUAGACCAAUAUUAAUCUCCUUUGAAUCUUAUUGAAAUUUUUUUAUUCAUGAAUUUUGGGUUUUAGGCCUUUUUUCUUCUAAUAAGUUUGUGCUUGUUCUUAUGUUUAUAUGUGGGUUCAUUAUUUUUCUUCCUAUCUUAUGGAAGUCUCUUACUCUUUUAUGAAAAAAACAUUUCAUUAUCUGUCCUCAUUUCAUAAACUGGUGAAUCUGUGAGCAUCAAGGGCAAGGUAUAUCAAUGAGGUGCACUGUGUACUCACAUGUAUUUAGGAACAUUCAAUUGCUUUAUUUGAAAUUAGUUAGGCUGUUUAGGUCCUAAAUUUGGUUUAAUGGGAAACUGUCACUUUUGAUUAAAAUUAGCUUGACUUUGUUAUUUUUUCCUAGAUGGGUUUGUUGUGAUUUGGCACGCGAAUUGAUCUUGUUUGGAAUUUCAUCAUGUCAUUCAUACAUUUUUAUAUUUACUGGAUUUGGCUUGUUGUAUACAAGUCCAAUGCUCAAGUAUUUUCCUGAAUUAAUAUUUAGGAAUUUUUGCUGAUCUGAAGCGCCUGUAUUAUAUUUCAAUGUUUGAUUUGUACACUCUGAUGGUUUUAUUAUUUAAAGAAAUUGUAAUAAUGUUUACACUAUCUUGUGAACAACAGUAGGCCAUAACUAUCUUUUCUCUUUCAUUCAAAUAGACUGCUUUUGUCUGCUACAAUUUGUCAUUAACCUGAUCUCAAGGCAAUUGGGAGUAAUUGUGUGUAGUUAUCAUAAUUUCCACUCGAUUGCAAGAUCUGGUGUGUGUAUUUUCACCUUUAAUGAACAGGUUGGUUGUGUUGACAUUUUAAAGGGAUUUGUGGACCAGGAUCAAAGGGAAGUUUUGCCGCAAAAUGAAGAAGUUGUUGGGGUUACUGCUACUUCUGCUGCUGCCCACGGGAUUGCUGUAGCCGUAGAGUUCAAACCCGUUGAGCAUCCAUCUGAACCUAUUGACAAUGAUCCACCUGUUAGAUGCCCUUUACCAGAGCCUUCAAUACUUAAUGUAAGCUCAAACCUAUAUUACAUUAGAAUAGUAUUUCCUUGAAUGUCAUUAGUUUUAAGUUGUGGCACUAAUUUACCACAAGAGUAUUUUCUACUGCUUAAGCUUGAUAUUCUCUGUGAGAAAUAUGAUGCUUUUGUGCUUCUUCAUUUGAUUUUGUAAAUGUAAAUGCUAAGCAUUAAUAGAGUAUAGAUUAGGACAUUUAAUCUUUUUAAACCUUACAAAUUAGGAGCUUCAACCUCAAUCAUGUUUUUGUAAUUCACAUAAACUUUAGUUGGGAAAACCAAAAUAUGUUCGUGUGAUGGAGGGUAGGUAACUAGGUAAUUCCACAAAUAUAGUGACAAUUUUUUCUUCCUGUUCGGGCAAUCGAAUUCUCUAAGCCAACAGUUUCUGUAAUAAUUAUUGGUCUGUUUUCCAACUUAUGUGACCUUUAAUCUUGUCAUCAACAUUAUUCAGAUUACCAUAGCUUGGGAUAUAAUUAUACAACUCCAUCUGUUUCAGUUUCUUCUGCAAUUUUUUAAUUUUCAUUCACUUUUUCCUCCUCGGCAUCCAUCUGUUGCUACAUCUAUUCGUCCAAAUUUUAAAUUUAGGUUGAGACCUAUUUGCAUGUGUAAUAGUUCACCUUGAUUUUUUGGUUCCUAAAUGCUCUUCGACUAUUUUUGCCAAAUGUUUUGGGUAUUUUGGAUACUUACUACAAUCACCAAGCACCUCUUUGAUCCAAAUUGAAAUUGUAUUUUACCCUUAAAAGAUGGCGUGAUAGUAUCAGGCAUGUCAUUAGUCUUUCACAGUAGAUUUUUGUGGUGAAACAUAUUGCAAUAGUUCUGCAUAAGCUUUGUUAAUAUCAAAUUGCUCAGAAGUUUCGUCCUUGCCUUCAUAUUUAGUGUCUUAUACUUCUAUUGUUAGAGUUCUCCAUGUUUCUAUUAUAGGUUGCCAAUUUUUCUAGGGUUAUGUAAACUUUGCUCAAUAUUAGAACAGAUAGAGGCCUAAUUUUGUUAAAGCCUCUUUCUCCAUCUCAUACAAGUACAUCUGUUUGUUAUUAUUAUUAUAUAAGACAGAUAGAGGCCUAAUUCUUCUCUUUCUCACACACACACACAGAAAAAAAAAAUCAUCAUCUUCUUCUUCUUCUAGUUACCUGUGCCGAUAUAGUUACCUGUAUGCUGUUGAAGGCUUUCUGUUUUGUAUGUAGUGGAAAGGGAGCUUUAAUUAUGUAGUGGAAAAAGAAUAUUGUUAGGUGAUCCAAGCAAACUUAAAUUAUGUGGUGGAAUGGGAAAAGGGGUAAUAUGUUAAUGCUUAGGGAGUAAGAAAGACAUUUCACCUGUGUAAGCACUCAGCAAUGCACGAUAUUUCUUAUGUUAAUGCUUAGGAAUAUUGUUAGGUGAUUCAGACUACGGUCGAAGCCAAUUACAAAGGUUCAGAGGAAAAUGAGACCCUUUCAAGGAGGUGAUUGAGGCAAUACGGUAAUAACCUUUAGAGCUACCUGUCCUUAUCAAGCGUCUGCUCAAAAACAGGGUUUCCCUUAAUAUAUGGGGUGGGACCAGGUCGGAUUAGUAGCUUGAGGGUCGUGUGUUUCGAACAUAAAACACUUUUGGCAUUAGCUCGGGGUUAUCCAAUUAAAUAUCAAUACAUUUAGAUAUAGUGUGCGGUUUAGAAAAUGUGGAGAGUCUAUACAAAAAUUUCAGUAUGUAUACCCAUUUUGUUGAUUCUGCCAAAAGUCCAAAACACAUGCAUCUAACAAUGAUGUGUAGGCACUUGUUUUCAUAUUCUUUGUCUUCUAAUAUUUGGUGCAUGGUGGUAUUCAGGACGGGAGAAUAUGGAAGGAACGGAUGUCAGCGACUGUACAGAGGACUCCUGACCUGCCAGUUCCAAAAGAUGGGGAGUCCCCUGAAACUGUGUCAAAUGGAACACGGCCUCGUCGUUCAAUUUUACCAUCUCUCAGUGCUCCUGAGCACAAUCUUAUAAAUUUGCUGGACGAAUGUAAUGCAGCUGGCAUAUGAAAUUGAUCAGUACCAGUUGUUUCUUCCAAGGAUGAUGGAUAUGUAUUAUGUUACCUUGUACAAUGCAUCCAUAGAAAAGCAUCGCUCCUUCCUCUGUUUUCCCUCUAUAGUUAUUGCUCGGAUUAUAGAUAACAAAGAAAGAUGAAGAAUUGGAGGUUAUCCACAAAUAGUAGAAUGGCAAGUCGUCAGCUUUUAUUUAGUGUUCUAUUCAAUCUGUGUAACUUGUAAGUUGUAACUACUGUAUGUUGUUUUGAUUAAAUAGAAGAAAUACUUCUUGUUGUUUAUGUUAUUGCAGUUAAGUAGUUAACCUUGUGUAGCAUUUGGAAAGAAAUACCGCAACAAUGAACUGUAGUAUGUUUCUAAAACAGAAUUUUAUGCAUUACAUCAUUAUUCGUCUAGAGUAAGAUGUCCAUAUGGGGAUAUGGUUGCAUAAAUGGUCAGGAAACUGUGUUGUUGCUUGUCAUGUCCUAAAAUCUAGUACUAUGGGUACUGAUUCAGCAUUCAGGUGAUAUCAUAUAUCUGUGAUUCAAGUACUGUGUGGCCUAGGUUUUAACAGUAUUUUGUAUCUGUGGAUAAAAAUAGCAUAUACAAAAUCAUGGAAUAUGCUCUAAUGCUACUGUUAGCAGAAUCUAUUACACCUUAUUCCUUGCUUGCACGAUAAACUGAUUGAGAAUCAAACAGAAAUGUUCUAGACUUCUUUCAUUAGAUACAUAAUUGAAUUUCAGUGGAUAUUUUCAAACAUUUGAUAGUUCCUGACAUACUUGAAUUCAGAACUGAUACGAAGAAAAGAAAACUACAUAAUUUCAUAUGACAAAGUUGAAGCAGUUACAACAGAGAAGCAAACUUAAGCAAUAGCUGAUUACAGGGGGGGGCAAAAGUUAUAUAGUCAACUUGAUAACUUGGAAAGGAUCCUCCUCUGAUGGAUUAAUGAGUUGUUUCCGAGGGCCUCGAAAGCUUCCAUGAUUCAUCCAUGGUUUCCUCUGCCAUGAUCGAUGGUGGUGGGAUUUUGCCACCUUUUCUCUGUGCCAAACUCGUACUCCAACAACUUGGUGCCUUGAGACCAUUGAAAUGAAUAUGAAAAAGAAAAGGAGAAGGGAUGUGAUCAAGCUUUUCAUCUUCAUGGACAUGGUGCCUUUGAAACUGUAUUACUUAGAGAAAAUAUUAGCUAGUCGCCAGUGAUGUGAUUGAGUGAGAAUGUGAAAAGGAACAAGAUAUAAUGGAUUGCUUAGAAAGGCUCCAACGGCCAACUUUCAAA
rnacentral:lncRNA from 1 species